CUGAAGCAAGUAAACAAGAUGUGGCUGUUCAGCCGGAGAAGUUUGAUGAAGUCCCCACCGAUGCUGGGAAUUCACAGACUAAACUGGAAGAAGGAUUGAAAACUCCUGCNNNNNNNNNNNNNNNNNNNNNNNNNNNNNNNNNNNNNNNNNNNNNNNNNNNNNNNNNNNNNNNNNNNNNNNNNNNNNNNNNNNNNNNNNNNNNNNNNNNNUCGGUAAUCCGCAGCCAGACACCAGUAGUCUGUAAGGCUUAUAUCUCGGAAAUCCGGCUCCCUCCGGACGUCCGAGGGCCGAACGCCUGAGGGCCGAACGUCCGACUGGCUUCGGUAAUCCGCAGCCAUACACCAGUAGUCUGUAAGGCUUAUAUCUCGGAAAUCCGGCUCCCUCCGGACGUCCGAGGGCCGGACGUCCGGCCAAGCUCCGAAAAUCCGGAAGUCAACACCAGUAGAAUGUGUGCACUAUAUCUCGGAAAUCCGGCUCCCUCCGGAUGCCCGAGCGCCGGAUGUCCGACACACAUCGGAAAUCCGGAAGCCACCACGAGUAGAACUUGUGCUGUAUAACACGAACUUCCGGGCCACUCCGGACGUCCGUAUGCUGAUGAAUUCAAAUAUGUUCAGGAACACCUACAGGCCUCGGACGACCGACCACUGUCAGACGUCCGGCCGCUGAUGAAUUCAGAAGAGUUCCAGUCAUGCCUACAGGUCUCGGACGACCGACCCCUGUCGGACGUCCGGACCCUCACGGACGCCCGGACUUCCGACAAGUGUCGGACGUCCGGACCCUGUGUGACUUAUUGCACCUCCAACGGCUGGAUUUCACUCCACACUAUAAAUACUCUUCUCCCACCUCGUGAAAGGGUGUUCAACACAGCUAAGACACAUCCAAGAACACCUUUCCUCUCACUCACUCUUGUCUACACCAAAUCCUAGAUCCCAAGAGCAUUUGUGAGUCCUUUUGAGUGUUGUUCCAAUCAAAAGAUAGAUCGUCUCCCUCUCCUCCUUCCCACCAAAGUGAUUCGUGAUUUGAGCAAGUUUUGAGCAAUCCCCGUGAUCUUGUUACUCUUGGAGGUUGGAGACUCCUAGGCGGUAGGAGUCUUCGGAGAGGAAUCAAACCAUUGUGAUUUCCCCCGGAAAGUUUGUGAAGGUUUGGAAGCCACCUCAAGGCUUACCACUAGUGGUUGAGAAACGCCUUCGUGGAGUUAUCUCAAAGGGAGAAUAGGGUGAGCCUUCGUGGCGUUGGUGUGCCUUCGUGGUAACAUCCGCCCCUCUAACGGUGACGUAGCUUCCCUCCAAGGAAGUGAACAUCGGGAUACAUCCUUGUCUCUCUCGGAGUUUCGGUUAUUCCUAACCCUAACUCUCUACUUGUGUUAAUCCUUAUUACAUACUUGUAUUUUCUUAUUGUUUACGGCUUGCCUUGUUUCACUCCUAAUAGUUUACUCUUUGUCAUAGCAAUUAUUAGGCUUACACUUAUAUUCCGCACUUUAGCCUAAAAUUGCCAAGUAAUUAUUAAAAUUUGGAUUUGUACCUAUUCACNNNNNNNNNNNNNNNNNNNNNNNNNNNNNNNNNNNNNNNNNNNNNNNNNNNNNNNNNNNNNNNNNNNNNNNNNNNNNNNNNNNNNNNNNNNNNNNNNNNNUCCAGUUGAAGAGAAAGUCAUUGCCUAUAAUGAUCCUAUUGUUCCCAGUGCUUACAUUGAGAAACCACCUUUCCCUGUUAGGAUAAAGGAUCAUUCUAAAGCUUCAACUGUUAUACGUAGAGGCUAUAUUAGAACACCUACACCCCCUGAGCAAAUUAGAGCUGAACCUAGCAUUGCUAUCAUCAAAGAUCUUCUGUCCGAUGAUGUUGAGGGACAUAAUAUUCACUUCGGUGAAGAUGCUGCUAGAAUUGCUAAACCUCACGCUAGAGACAAACAUGGGCAUGUUGUUGGCAUGCAUGUUGUUUCUGUUAAGAUAGGAGAUCAUUGUUAUCAUGGUUUAUGUGAUGUGGGUGCUAGUGUUAGUGCAAUACCUCAAUCCUUAUAUGAUGAAAUCAAAGACGAGAUUGCACCUAUUGAGAUAGAGCCUAUUGAUGUCACUAUUAAGCUUGCCAAUAGAGAUACUAUCUGCCCUGUGGGAAUUGUUAGGGAUGUNNNNNNNNNNNNNNNNNNNNNNNNNNNNNNNNNNNNNNNNNNNNNNNNNNNNNNNNNNNNNNNNNNNNNNNNNNNNNNNNNNNNNNNNNNNNNNNNNNNNNNNNNNNNNNNNNNNNNNNNNNNNNNNNNNNNNNNNNNNNNNNNNNNNNNNNNNNNNNNNNNNNNNNNNNNNNNNNNNNNNNNNNNNUUCCUCGUUCUUGCUACCGCACAAGACAGCCUUUGUCCCAUCAUAUUUGGCAGACCCUUCCUCAAUACUGUCAAUGCUCAUAUUGAUUGUGAGAAGCAAAAUGUCACUGUUGGCUUCGAAGGUGUGUCACAUGAGUUCAAUUUCUGUAAGUUUGGUAGACAACCUCAUGAAAAGGAGUUGCCUAGUAGGGAUGAAACUAUUGCCUUAGCCUCUAUUGUUGUGCCUCCUACUGAUCCCUUAGAGCAAUACUUGCUUGAGCAUGAAAAUGAUAUGCAUAUGGAUGAAAGGGAUGAGAUAGAUAGAGUUGUCUUAGAACAAUAUCCUAUCCUUCAGAAUAACUUGCAUGUUGAACUGCUUGGGGAUCCACCCCCACCAAAGGGUGAUCCUAUGUUCGAGCUUAAACAGUUGCCUGAUACUCUUAAGUAUGCUUAUCUUGAUGAAAAAGAGAUAUAUCCUGUUAUUAUUAGUGCUAGCCUCUUAGAGCAUGAAGAAACUAAGUUACUAAAAACUCUCAGGAAGCACCGUGCUGCUAUUGGAUAUACUCUUGAUGAUCUUAAGGGCAUUAGUCCUACUCUAUGCCAUCACAAGAUUAAAACUGAUCCUGACUUCAAACCAGUUGCUGAUCAUCAAAGGAGAUUGAAUCCUAAGAUGAAAGAAGUAGUGAGAAAAGAAAUACUAAAGCUCCUGGAAGCAUGUAUCAUUUAUCCUGUUGCUCAUAGUGAUUGGGUGAGUCCGGUGCAUUGCGACCCUAAGAACGGAGGCAUUACCGUUGUCCCUAAUGAUAAGGAUGAAUUGAUCCCUGCUACUGCAACAAAAGACCUUCCAACGGCGCCAGAAGCGUGCUGACGGGAGACUGUUCAUGUCUUGAUACUCCUCAGCAACGGCACCAGGAAUCCUUCUGCUACGGCUACGCCUUAAGGGACUUCCUAGGCAAAUAUGCAAAGGAUUUCCCCCGUGGCCUUGGAGCCUUGUUGGUGUUCCCUCGAAGUGGAAAGGGUGAUGUAGCGCAGCGGUGGUAAGUAUUUCCCUCAGUUUGAGAACCAAGGUAUCGAUCCAGUGAAGGAGUAUCUCAAGUGCCUGCACAAACACAAAAAGCUUGCUCCCAACGCUAUGAAGGGGUUGUCAAUCCCUUAUAGAUUGUUCGCCAAGUAAGAACUGAAAGCAACAAAGUAACAAAGCAAAGUAAAAGCANUAUCCAGCAUGCAUCUAGUGUAUUAAGUCCAAAAGAACAGAGUAACGCCUUAAGCAAGAUGACAUGAUGUAGAUGGACAAUCUCAUAUCUACGACAAAGCCCACCUUGUUACCCUUGAUGGCAACUACACGAUGUGUGCCUUGCUGCCCCUACUAUCACUGGGAAAGGUCACCACACGGUAAGAACCCAAAACCAAGCACUUCUCCCAUUGCAAAAAUCAUAGAUCUAGUUGGCCAAACAAAACCCAAGACUCGGAGAGACUUACAAGGAUAUCAAAUCAUGCAUAUAAGAAAUCAGCAAAGACUCAAAUAUAUAUCAUAGAUAAUCUAAUCACAAAUCCACAAUUCAUCGGAUAUCAACGAACACACCGCCAAAGAGGAUUACAUCGGAUAGAUCUCCAUGAAGAUCAUGGAGAACUUUGUAUUGAAGAUCCAAGAGAGAGAAGAAGCCAUCUAGCUAGUAACUACGGACCCGUAGGUCUGAAGUGAACUACUCACAAGUCAUUGGAGGGGCGAUGAUGUUGAUGUAGAAGCCCUCCAACUCCAAAGUCCCCUCCGGCAGGGCACCGGGAAGGGUCUCCAGAUGAGAUCUCGCGGAAACGGAAGCUUGCGACGGCGGAAAAGUGUUUUCGAGGAUUCCCUGAUUUUUUUCUGUAUUUUAGGGAAUAUAUAGGCGAAGGAGCUAGGUCAGGGGGGCGCCAGGGAGGCCACAAUCCUGCUGGCCGCCGCCCCCAUGGCGGCGGCUAGGGGGCUUGUGGGCCCCUUGUAGCCCUCCUGGCUUGGCCCUCAAGCCCCCUGAUCUUCUUCCAGUCGGGAAAAUUUUAUUUUUGGGAUUUUAUUCCGUUUGGACUCCGUUCCAAAAUCAGAUCUGAAAAGAGCCAAAAACACAGAAAAAAUAGGAACUGGCACUUGGCACUGAAUUAAUAAGUUAGUCCCAAAGAAGAUAUAAAAGGUACAUAAAACAUCCAAAGAUGACAAGAUAACAACAUCAAACCAUCAAAAAUUAUAGAUACGUUUGAGACGUAUCAAGCAUCCCCAAGCUUAACUCCUGCUCGUCCUCGAGUAGGGAAGUGAUAAAGAAUGAAUUUUUGAUGCUUUCAUGCUACCUAGCAUAGAUGUCCUUUGUAACUCCUCUUAUGUGACGUGAAUGUUCAGAUCCAUUAGAUUCAAAACAAUAGUUUGCUAUUGACAUAGAAACAAUAAUAAUUCAAGCAAACUAGCAAGGUAAUCAUGAACUUUCAAAAUAACAAUGCCAAAAGAAAGUUAUCCCUACAAAAGCAUAUAGUCUGGCUAUUCUCUAUCAUCAUUGCACAACAAAUUUAAAUCAUGCACAACCCCGGUAUUGGGCAAGUAAUUGUUUCACACAUUUACUUUCUCAAACCUUUUCAACUCUCACGCAAUACAUGAGCGUGAGCCAUGGUUUUAGCACUAUAAGUGGUGUGGAGUGUGGUGGAGGUUGCAAGACAAAAUAAGGAGAAGAUGAUCACAUUAACUAGGCAUAUCAAUGAGCUGUGGAGAUGCUCAUCAAUAGAUAUCAAUGUGAAUGAGUAGGGAUUGCCAUACAAAUGAUGCACUAGAGCUAAGAGUAUGUGAAAGCUCUUAAAGAAAACUAGUGGGUGUGCAUCCAACUUGCUUGCUCACGAAGACCUAAGGCAAUUUUGAGGAAGCCUAUCAUUGGAAUAUACAAGCCAAGUUAUAUAAUGAAAAUUUCCCACUAGCUAUAUGGUGGUGACAAAACGAGAUACUCUCAAUCAUGUAGAUCAUGGUGCUUAAUAUGCACAAGUGUGGAAAGGUGGUAACAUUGUCCCUUCUCUCUUUUUCUCUCAUCAUUUUUUUUGGUGGGCUCAUUGGCCUCUUUUUUUUGGUGGGCAUCUUGGCCUCUUUUAUUUCCUCACAUGGGACAAUGCUCCAUCGAUGAUGAUCAUCACACUUUCAACUCAAAACUUAGAGCAACGAUGAUUCUAUAUGGAAUGCCUUCGGUAGUGUACCGUGACAAUGAUCUAGCAAGGCAUAGACAUUAAUGGAAAUAUCAUGCUAGCUAUCUUACGAUCAUGCAAUGGCAAUGUAGAAGUGGUGGCACAUGUCAUGGUGGUAGUUGCAUGGCAAUAUAUCUCGGAAUGACUUUGAAAAAGCCAUAGUAGGUAGGUAUGGUGGCUGUUUUGAGGGAGGCUAAUGGUGGGUUUUGUGCACCGGCGAAAGUUGCACGACACUAAGAAGAUAGUGAUGGUGGAAGGUGAAAGUGCAUUUAAACCAUGGACUCAACAUUAGUCAUGAAGAACUCAUAUACUUGUUGCAAAAGUUUUGUUAGUAAUCAAAACAAAGCAUUCAACGCAUACUCCUAGGGGAAGGGUUGGUAGGUAUAAACCAUCGCGCGAUCCCGACCGCCACACAAAGGAUGACAAUCAAAAGACCAAUCAUGCUCAGACUUCAUCACAUAGUGGUUCACCAUACGUGCAUGCUACGGGAAUCACUAACUUCAACACAAGUAUUUCUAGAUCCACAACACCUUAUUAGCAUAACUUCAAUAUUACCACAACCACAACUCAAAACUAGUUGAGAUGGAUCAAACUUCUAUAACUAUUCAAUGCACAUGAAGGUGGAAGUUUUCGUAUCCCUUUGGAUAACUACCCCUUUUGAGACUACUUUCAAAGCAUAGAUCAACUACCAAGCCACGCACCGCUGUGCUCUAAAAGAUAUAAGUGACGCACAUAGAGCAAAAGUAUCUAGCCCAAAAGAUAUAAGUGAAGCACAUGUGAGCUGAAUUGUCUACCAGAGGAUAUAAGUGAAGCUCGACAAAAUCACGGUGAGUGCAUGUCUCUCUCUCUAGGUGUGCGGCAAGGAUGAUUGUGACACAACAAAAAUAAAAGACUCUUACGAUACAAGACGCUCCAAGCAAAAACACAUAAUAUGUGGUGAAUAAAAAUAUAGCCCCAAGUAACGUUACCGAUGGAUUGAAAACGAGAGAGGGGAUGCCUUCCCGGGGCAUCCCCAAGCUUAGGCUUUUACGGCAUCCUUGAAUCUCUUGGGGUGCCUUGGGCAUCCCCAAGCUUGAGCUCUUGCCACUCUUUAUCUCUUUGUCCAUAAGAACUUCACCCAAAACUUGAAAACUUCACAACACGAAACUUAAAUAGAAACUCGUGAUAACAUUAGUAUAAGAAAGCAAACCACCACUUCCUUAGGUACUGUAGCAAACUUAAAUUCUACUUAUGCUGAUGUUGGGUUACUGUAUUUUCAAUCUUCCAUGGCUAAUACCCCCCGAUACUAUCCAUAGUUUCAUCAAAAUAAGCAACCAACACAACAAAAAACAGAAUAUGUUAACAGCAGACCAGUCUGUAGCAAUCUGUAUAUCUCGUAUACUUCUGGUACUUCAAAAAUUCUGAAACAUUACGACAGUCUGAAGAAUUUGUGUAGAAAUCAGAAGCAAGAAGAAUCAACUCAAAAGCUCUUACAUAAAAAAUGAAAAUUAUUUUCGUGAGCAGAAAGUUUCUGUCUUUUCCACCAUGACCAAACGAUCAUCCCCAAGACUAAUCAUAACGAUUUUGCUUGGCACAAACGCAAAAAGAAACACAAAAAACACAAUCAUAACUGAAUUAUGAAAGUGUGGAAAACACAAAACAGAAAGAAAAAGGAUAGAUUCGUUGGGUUGCCUCCCAACAAGCGCUAUUGUUUAACGCCCUUAGCUAGGCAAAAGGUGAUGGAAUCACGUAUAGUCAUCUUUGGUGCUCAAACCAUAAGUAGCCCUCAUCAUAGAUUCAUAAGGUAAUCUUAUUUUCUUUCUAGGAAAGUGCUAUGUGCCCUUAUUUAAAGGAAAUUGAAAUCUAAUAUUCCCUUCCUUCAUAUCGAUGAUAGCACCAAUAGUCCUUAGGAAAGGUCUACCAAGAAUAAUGGGACAUGAAGGAUUGCAAUCUAUGUCAAGUAUAAUGAAAUCCACGGGUACAUAGUUCUUAUUUGCAACAAUAAGAACAUCAUCGAUCCUUCCCAUGGGUUUCUUGACAGUAGAAUCCGCAAGAUGCAAAUUAAGAGAACACUCUCCAAUCUCAUGAAAACUAAGAAUAUCACAUAAAGACUUUGGAAUCGCGGAAACACUAGCACCCAAAUCAUACAAAGCAUUGCACUCCUAGUUUUUGAUCUUGAUUUUGAUAGUAGGUUCCCACUCAUCAUGAAGUUUUCUAGGUAUAGAGACUUCUAAUUCAAGCUUCUCUUCAAGAGAUUUCAUCAUAGCAUCUACGAUAUGCGCGGUAAAGGCUUUGCUUUGGCUAUAAGCAUGUGGAGAGUUUGCAAUGGAUUGCAUCAAAGAAAUGCAUUCAAACAAGGAGCAAUUAUCAUAAUUGAAUUCCUUGAAAUCCAAAGUGGGAGUUUCAUUACUACCCAAAAUUUUGAUUUCUUCUAAUACACUCUCCACACCUUUAUCAUCAAGAUGGGUGGACUCCGAAUCAUUGGGGCGUUUUUCAACCAAAGUGGAUUCAUAUCCAGCCCCUUCAUCAAUAGGUUUGACAAGCGAAAACUAAGAUUCAAGAGGAGACACACCAAGCACUUUAAGAUCUUCGUGAUUUGCAUCACUAGAAUGCACCCCUUUAAACCAUUCAUGCCUGGCGCGAAUUUGGGCGGUUCUUUCUUUGCUCUCAUUCAUGGAGACACGCAUAGAUUUCAAAGUUUCAUCCAAGUUGACCUUGGGAGGAGCGCAUCUAACUUUCAAAGCAUCAAUAUCACAAGACAUCCUAUCAACGCUCUUAGCCAAAUCGUCUAUCUUGAGUAGUUUUUCCUCUAUGAACGCAUUGAAAAUCUUUUGAGAGUUGAUGAACUCUUUGAUAUUACUCUCUAAAUCAGAGGGUAAUUUGUUGUGAUUUCCAUAAGUGUUGUUGUAGGAAUUUCCAUAGUUGUUAGAGGAGUUACUAGGAAAAUGCCUAGGAACAUAGUUUCCUCUAAAAGCAUUGUUGUUGCCAAAAUUGUUCCUACCAACAAAAUUCACGUCCAAACUAGCGUUGCUACUCUCAAUCAAAGAAGAUAGUGGCAUGUCAUUAGGAUCUAAAGGAGCGUUUCUACUAGCAACCAAAUUCAUCAACUCGUCCAUCUUAGCACUAAGCGAAUUAAUUUCUUCUAUAGCGUGUACCUUUUUGCUAGGAGGCGACCUUUCAGUGUGCCACUUAGAGUAGUUGGUCAUAAUAUUGUCUAGGAGUUUUGUAGCGUCUCCUAACGUGAUUUCCAUGAACGUUCCACCUGAGGCGGAGUCCAAUAUAUUGCGAGAAGCGAAAUUCAAGCCAGUGUAAAAGAUUUGUAUAAUCAUCCACAAACUCAAGCCAUGAGCGGGACAAUUUCUAAUCAUAAGCUUCAUCCUCUCCCAAGAUUGUGCAACGUGUUCAUGAUGAAGUUGCUUGAAAUUCAUGAUAUCGUUACGUAAGGAGAUGAUCUUAGCCGGCAGAAAAUCUUGGAUAUGUAAGCAUCUUUGCACUUAUCCCAAGAAUCGAUACUAUUUUUAGGCAAAGAAGAAAACCAAGUUUUUGCGCGAUCUCGCAACGAGAAAGGAGAAAGCUUCAACUUAAUCACGUCAUUAUCCACAUCUCUUUUGUUUUGCAUAUCACAAAGCUCAAUGAAGGUAUUGAGAUGGGAUGCAACAUCUUCACUAGGAAGGCCAGAGAAUUGCUCUUUCAUAACAAGAUUCAGCAAAGCUGCGUUGAUUUCGUACGAUUCCGCACUAGUGGCGGGAGCAAUCGGAGUACUAAUAAAAUCAUUAUUAUUGGUACUCGAGAAGUCGCAAAGUUUGGUGUUUUCAGCCAUGAUGACUUCAACAAACAAACAAGCACACAAGCAAGCAAGAAAACCAGCAAAGGAAAACGGCAAAAAGGCAAAUGGAAAAAGAAAAAGGCAAAGGAGAAAGGCAAAUGAAAACGGCAAAUGUGAAGUGGGGGAGAAGAAAACGAGAGGCAACUGGCAAAAAAGUAAAUGCAAGAGAUGAGUUUGUGAGACCUACUUGGAUAAAUCUCUCCUUCCCCGGCAACGGCGCCAGAAAUACUUCUGCUACUGCAACAAAAGACCUUCCAACGGCGCCAGGAACGUGCUGACGGGUGACUGUUCUUGUCUUGAUACUCCUCAGCAACGGCACCAGGAAUCCUUCUGCUACGGCUACGCCUUAAGGGACUUCCUAGGCAAAUAUGCAAAGGAUUUCCCCCGUGGCCUUGGAGCCUUGCGUUGGUGUUCCCUCGAAGCGGAAAGGGUGAUGUAGCGCAGUGGUGGUAAGUAUUUCCCUCUGUUUGAGAACCAAGGUAUCGAUCCAGUGAAGGAGUAUCUCAAGUGCAUGCACAAACACAAAAAGCUUGCUCCCAACGCUAUGAAGGGGUUGUCAAUCCCUUAUAGAUUGUUCACCAAGUGAGAACUGAAAGCAACAAAGUAAAAAAGCAAAGUAAAAGCAAAAGUGGAAACGAUAGGUGUGAAUAGACCCGGGGGCCGUAGUGUUUACUAGUGGCUUCUCUCAUGAAAGCAAGUAGACGGUGGGUGAACAAAUUACUGUCGAGCAAUUGAUAGAAGCGCGCAAAGUCGUGACGUCAUCUAUGGAAAUGAUUAUAUCUAUAGGCAUCACGUCCAAAACAAGUAGAUCGAUACUUUCUGCAUCUACUACUAUUACUCCACACGUCGACCGCUAUCCAGCAUGCAUCUANNNNNNNNNGAGCAAUUGAUAGAACCGCGCAAAGUCGUGACGUCAUAUAUGGCAAUGAUUAUAUCUAUAGGCAUCACGUCCAAAACAAGUAGACCGAUACUUUAUGCAUCUACUACUAUUACUCCACACGUCGACCGCUAUCCAGCAUGCAUCUAGUGUAUUAUGUCCAAAAGAACAGAGUAACGCCUUAAGCAAGAUGACAUGAUGUAGAUGGACAAUCUCAUAUCUACGACAAAGCCCACCUUGUUACCCUUGAUGGCAACUACACGAUGUGUGCCUUGCUGCCCCUACUGUCACUCAGAAAGGUCACCACAUGGUAAGAACCCAAAACCAAGCACUUCUCCCAUUGCAAGAAUCAUAGAUCAAGUUGGCCAAACAAAACCCAAGACUCAGAGAGACUUACAAGGAUAUCAAAUCAUGCAUAUAAGAAAUCAACAAAGACUCGAAUAUAUAUCAUAGAUAAUCUGAUCACAAAUCCACAAUUCAUCGGAUCUCGACAAACACACCGCCAAAGAGGAUUACAUCGGAUAGAUCUCCAUGAAGAUCAUGGAGAAGUUUGUAUUGAAGAUCCAAGAUGGAGAAGAAGCCAUCUAGCUACUAACUACGAACCAGUAGGUCUGAAGUGAACUACUCACGAGUCAUUGGAGGGGCGAUGAUGUUGAUGUAGAAGCCCUCCAACUCCAAAGUCCCCUCCGGCAGGGCACCGGGAAGGGUCUCCACAUGAGAUCUCGCGGAAACGGAAGUUUGCUGCGGCAGAAAAGUGUUUUCGAGGAUUCCCUGGUUUUUUCUGUAUUUUAGGGAAUAUAUAGGCGAAGGAGCUAGGUUAGGGGGGCGCCAGGGAGGCCACAAGCCUGCUGCCCCCCCUGGUGGUGGCUAGGGGGCUUGUGGGCCCCGUGUAACCCUCCUGCCUUGGCCCUCAAGCCCCGUGAUCUUCUUCCAGUCGGGGAAAUUUUAUUUUGGGGAUUUUAUUCCGUUUGUACUCCGUUCCAAAAUCAGAUCUCAAAAGAGCGAAAAACACAGAAAAAACAGGAACUGGCACUUGGCACUGAAUUAAUAAGUUAGUCCCAAAAAAGAUAUAAAAGGUACAUAAAACAUCCAAAGAUGACAAGAUAACAUCAUGAAACCAUCAAAAAUUAUAGAUACAUUUGAGACGUAUCAAGCAUCCCCAAGCUUAACUCCUGCUCGUCCUCGAGUAGGGAAGUGAUAAAGAAUGAUUUUUUUAUGCUUUCAUGCUACCUAGCAUAGAUGUCCUUUGUAACUCCUCUUAUGUGACGUGAAUGUUCAGAUCCAUUAGAUUCAAAACAAUAGUUUGCUAUUGACGUGGAAACAAUAAUAAUUCAAGCAAACUAGCAAGGUAAUCAUGAACUUUGAAAAUAACAAGGCCAAAAGAAAGCUAUCCCUACAAAAGCAUGUAGUCUGGCUAUGCUCUAUCAUCAUUGUAGAACGAAUUUAAAUCAUGCACAACCCCGGUAUUGGCCAAGUAAUUGUUUCACGCCUUUACUUUCUCAAACCUUUUCAACUCUCACGCAAUACAUGAGCGUGAGCCAUGGUUUUAGCACUAUAAGUGGUGUGGAGUGUGGUGGAGGUUGCAAGACAAAAUAAGGAGAAGAUGAUCACAUUAACUAGGCAUAUCAAUGAGCUGUGGAGAUGCUCAUCAAUAGAUAUCAAUGUGAAUGAGUAGGGAUUGCCAUACAAAUGAUGCACUAGAGCUAAGAGUAUGUGAAAGCUCUUAAAGAAAACUAGUGGGUGUGCAUCCAACUUGCUUGCUCACGAAGACCUAAGGCAAUUUUGAGGAAGCCUAUCAUUGGAAUAUACUCCCUCCGUUCCUAAAUAUAAGUCUUUUUAGAGGUUCAACUAAUGAACUACAUACGGAUGUAUAUAGACAUACUUUGAAGUAUAGAUUCAUUUAUUUUGCUCUGUAUGUAUACACCUAGUGAAAUGUCUUAAAAGACUUAUAUUUAGGUACGGAGGGAGUACAAGCCAAGUUAUAUAUUGAAAAUUUCCCACUAGCUAUAUGGUGGUGACAAAACGAGAGACUCUCAAUCAUGAAGAUCAUGGUGCUUAAUAUGCACAAGUGUGGAAAGGUGGUAGCAUUGUCCCUUCUCUCUUUUUCUCUCAUCAUUUUUUUGGUGGGCUCUUUGGCCUCUUUGACUUUUGUGAAAAGAUUGUUGAGGUUUUCAUGGAUAACUUCUCCGUUUACGGGGUAUUCCUUUGAUUAUUGCCUCAGCAACCUUGAUCGAGUCUUGCAGAGAUGUAAAGACUCCAAUCUUGUCUUGAAUUGGGAGAAGUGCCACUUUAUGGUUAAUGAAGGCAUCGUCUUAGGACAUAAAAUUUCUGAAAGAGGUAUUGAAGUCGAUAAGGCUAAGGUUGAUGCAAUCGAGAAAAUGCCAUACCCCACAGAUAUCAAAGGGAUAAGAAGUUUCCUUGGUCAUGUUGGUUUCUAUAGAAGGUUCAUUAAAGACUUCUCUAAGAUUUCUAGGCAUCUUACCAAUCUCUUGCAAAAGGAUAUUCCUUUUGUUUUUGACGAUGAUUGUGAGGAAGCCUUCGAAAUACUUAAGAGGGCUUUGAUAACUGCACCUAUUGUUCAACCACCUGAUUGGAACUUACCUUUUGAAAUCAUGUGUGAUGCUAGCGAUUAUGCUGUUGGUGUUGUCCUAGGGCAAAGAGUUGAUAAGAAGUUGAAUGCUAUUCACUAUGCUAGUAAAACUCUAGAAAGUGCCCAAAGAAACUAUGCCACUAUGGAAAAGGAGUUUUUAGCAGUCGUGUUUGCCUGUGAAAAGUUCAGGUCUUACAUAGUUGAUUCCAAAGUCACUAUUCACACUAAUCACGCUGCUAUUAAGUACCUCAUGGAGAAGAAGGACGCUAAACCUAGACUUAUCAGAUGGGUUCUCUUGCUACAAGAAUUUUAUUUGCACGUUGUCGACAGAAAGGGUGCUGAUAACCCCGUAGGAGAUAACUUGUCUAGGUUGGAGAACGUUCUUGAUGACCCACAACCUAUUGAUGAUAGCUUUCCCGAUGAGCAAUCGAAUGUCAUCAAUGCUUCAUGUAGUGCACCGGGGUAUGCUGAUUAUGCAAACUAUAUCAUUGCCAAAUAUAUACCACCUAGUUUCACAUACCAGCAAAAGAAGAAAUUCUUCUUUGACUUGAGACAUUACUUUUGGGAUGAUCCUCACCUUUAUAAGGAAGGAGUAGAUUGUGUUAUUAGACGUUGUGUACCUGAACAUGAACAGGGACAAAUCCUACAGAAGUGUCACUCCGAGGCCUACGGAGGACACCAUGCGGGAGAUAGAACUGCACAAAGGUAUUGCAAUCAGGUUUCUAUUGGCCCACUCUCUUCAAGGAUGCCCGUAAGUUUGUCUUGUCUUGUGAUGAAUGUCAAAGAGUAGGUAAUAUCGGUAAAUGUCAGGAAAUGCCUAUGAACUAUUCACUUGUCAUUGAACCAUUUGUUGUAUGGGGCUUUGAUUAUAUGGGACCUUUUCCAAAAUCCAAUGGGUAUACUCAUAUCCUAGUUGUUGUUGAUUACGUCACUAAGUGGGUAGAAGCUAUCCCCACUAGUAGUGCUGAUCACAACACUUCUAUCAGGAUGCUUAAAGAAGUUAACUUCCCUAGAUUUGGAGUCCCUAGAUAUCUAAUGACCGACGGUGGUUCACAUUUCAUUCAUGGUGCUUUCCGUAAAACGCUUGCUAAGUACGAUGUUAACCAUAGAAUUGCGUCUCCCUAUCACCCCUAGUCUAGUGGUCAAGUAGAGCUAAGCAAUAGAAAGAUUAAACUGAUUCUGCAAAAGACUGUCAACAGGUCUAGAAAGAAUUGGUCUAAGAAGCUCGAUGAUGCACUGUGGGCUUAUAGAACUGCCUAUAAGAAUCCCAUGGGCAUGUCUCCGUACAAAAUGGUGUACAGUAAAGCAUGUCAUUUACCUCUUGAGCUAGAGCAUAAAGCUUAUUGGGCAAUCAAAGACCUCAACUUUGAUUUCAAGCUUGCCGGUGAGAAGAGGUUAUUUGACAUUAGCUCGCUUGAUGAAUGGAGAACUCAGGCAUAUGAGAAUGCCAAGUUGUUCAAAGAGAAGGUUAAGAGGUGGCAUGAUAAGAGGAUACAAAAGCGUGAGUUCAAUGUAGGUGAUUAUGUCUUGCUAUAUAACUCUCGUUUAAGAUUCUUUGCAGGCAAGCUUCUCUCUAAAUGGGAAGGUCCCUAUGUUGUUGAGGAAGUAUAUCGUUCCGGUGCUAUCAAGACCAACAACACGGAAGGUAAUUGUCCGAGAGUUGUAAAUGGGCAGAGAAUCAAGCAUUAUAUCUCAGGUACUCCCAUAAAUGUUGAAAUCAAUAUCAUCAAUACCAUAACUCUAGAAGAAUACCUAAGGGACAUUUAUCAGCCUGUUUCAGACUCCGAAAACGAAGAGUAUGUGAUUCGGUAAGAAAACAGAGUCCAAAACUUUUCGAGUAGAAUUUUUUCUCCGUUUUGGAAUAUUUGAAAAAAAAAUUGGAAGUAGUCCGGAAAGUGCGCGAGGAGGCGACAAGCCUUCCCGGCGCGGGCCCACCCCCUGACCGCGCCGGGAGGGCUUGUGGCCACCUCGUGCACCUCCCGGACUCCGUUUUCGUGCGGAGUACUCCUUCUGGUCUGGAAAAAAUCAAUAUAUACUCUCCCGUUUGGUCUGACCCCUACAUCACGCAGAUUUCCUCUGUUUUUUGUUUCGAGCCUGUUUCUGUUGUAGAUCUAGAUCGCUAUGACUUCCCCAAAAGCUCCGAAGGACAAGAUCUUCGAGAAGGUCAUCAAUACCUACCUCACGGGAGUGUUGCAACACCCUCAAUCUAUCGAGAUGCGUGAGGGGAUGUUGCACAUCCGUGAUGUUGAGGGGCCCAAGAAGACCGGAAGCGUGGAGAUGAGGCUCGAAGCAAUGGAGCAACAAGUCUUCAAGUGCCAAGGGAUGGUGGAGCAUGGACUCAAUGCCAACCACAUGAUGAUCAUGGAGUUCACCAACAAGCACAUGAUUGAUGCCAAUGACAUUGGGAAGCACCUCUCCAGGCUCUAUGACAGGAUUGAUCAACUCCAUGCCCAGAUCUAUGACCUGCAGAACCAAAACUGUGAGUAUGAGUAUAGAUUUAAAUCAAUACAGUUGGCUGCAGAUUUGAGGAUUCCAGAGACUCGUUCAUCUUUCCAUGAUGGAGCACCUAUGCCUUGGAAGACGUAGGAUCAAGCCCAUGUUGCAACAACUCCACCACCAUCACCUCCAAAGGAAGACAGCUAAGCAUGGGUAUGGGCAAUCCCCUUGGCUGGUGCCAAGCUUGGGGGAGUUGCCCCGGUAUCGUAUCACCAUCACAUAUUUUCCCUUUACCUUUGUUUUAAGUUUUCCUUUUCAGUUUUCUCUUUCUCUAGUAGAUUAAAAGUCUUAGUGUUUUAGUCUUGAGUUUUGCUUUGUGUCACCCCCGAUGUAUUCGAGCUCGUGAUGUAUGUGCAAGCAAUAAAAAUUGCUCUCUAGUUUGUAUGAUCUAUUAGUGUGUGGAAAAUAAGCUUUGUACGAACCUGUGAUGAGGAAGACAUAAAAGCGACAGACUGCAUAAUAAAGCUCUUUAUCAUAGGAGGCAAUAUAAAGUGACGUUCCUCCACACUAAGAGGACACACAUCCAAACCUCAAAAGCGCAUGACAACCUCUGCUUCCCUCUGCGAAGGGCCUAUCUUGUACCUUUACUUUUUGCCCUUGAAAGAGUCAUGGUGAUCUUCACCAAUUCCUUAUUUCGCCUUUAUCUUGGCUAACGUCAUAUGCUUGGGAAAGAUCUAUAUUCAUAUGUCAACUUGGAAGUAAGUAUUCAUGAUUUAUUAUUGUUGACAUUACCCUUGAGGUAAGCAGUUGGGAGCCAAAACUGUAAGCCCCUAUUUUUCUCUAUAUUCAGCUGAAACUUUGAUCUCAUGAGUACCGCGUGAGUUGCAGCAAUUGUAGAGAACGAAAGAAUGAUUGAGUAUGUGGAUUUGCUUUACAAGCUCUUAUUUGACUAUUUCUAAUGUUGUGAUAAAUUGCAAUUGCUUCAAUGACUAAAGGCUAUCGGUUGUUACUUCUCGGUAAGGUUCUUGAUCCAUGCUUUACUUUGUGAAGGAAUUAUCACUUUAGCAUGAGAGAUUAUAUGUUGGUAUGGCUGUUCUGGUCAUGAUCAUGAUGCAUGCAUGUUCGUAUCUUGUUUUGUCGACACCUCUCUCCCUAAACAUGUGGACAUAUUUAUUGAGCUAGGCUUUCGCUUUAGGACAAGCGAGGUCUAAGCUUGGGGGAGUUGAUACGUCCAUUUUGCAUCAUGUUUUCAUGUUGAUAUUUAUCGCUUCUUGGGCUGUUAUUUCACUUCACGGUACAAUACUUAUGCCUUUUCUCUCUUAUUUUGCAAGGUUUACAUGAAGAGGGAGAAUGCCGGCAGCUGGAAUUCUGGCGUGAAAGAGGAGCAAAGUUGAGAUACCUAUUCUGCGCAACUCCAAACGUUGUAAAAAUCAACGAGGAUUUUUUUUCUGGAUUUAUAAAAAUACUGGGCCAAAGAAGCGCCAGAAUGGGCGCCAGCAAGUGGCCACAAGCCUGCACGGUGCGGCCACCCCCAGGCCGCGCCAAGGGGGCUUGUGGGCAGCCUGCUGGCCCAUUGGCCCCCCUCUUCUGCUAUAUGAAGGGUUUCGUCCAGAAAAAAAAAUCAAGGAGGAGCUUUUUCGUGGAUUCGCCGCCGCCACGAGGCGGAACUUGAGCAGAACCAAUCUAGAGCUCCGGCAGGACGAUCCUGCCGGGGAAACUUCCCUCCCGGAGGGGGAAAUCAUCGCCAUCGUCAUCACCAACACUCCUCUCAUCGAAGGGGACUCGUCACCAUCAACAUAUUCAUCAACACCAUCUCAUCUCCAAACCCUAGUUCAUCUCUUGUAACCAAUCUCCCUCUCGCGACUCCGAUUGGUACUUGUAAGGUUGCUAGUACUGUUGAUUACUCUUUGUAGUUGAUGCUAGUUGGAUUACUUGGUGGAAGAGUUUAUGUUCACAUCCUUGAUGCUACUCAUUACCUCUCUGGUCAUGAAUAUUAUUAUGCUUUGUGAGUAGUUACUUUUGUUCCUGAGGACAUGGGAUAAGUCAUGCUAAUACUAGUCAUGUGAAUUUGGUAUUCGUUCGGUAAUUUGAUGUGUUGUAUGUUGUUUUUCCUCUAGUGGUGUUAUGUGAACGUCGACUACAUAACACUUCACCAUUAUUUGGGCCUAGAGGAAGGCAUUGGGAAGUAGUAAGUAGAUGAUGGGUUGCUAGAGUGACAGAAGCUUAAACCCUAGUUUAUGCGUUACUUCGUAAGGGGCUCAUUUGGAUCCACUAGUUUAAUGUUAUGGUUAGACUUUGUAUUGAUUCUUAUUUCGUAGUUGCGGAUGCUUGCGAGAGGGGUUAAUAAUAAGUGGGAUGCUUGUCCAAGUAAGGGCAGUACCCAAGCGCCGGUCCACCGACAUAUCAAACUAUCAAAGUAACGAACGUGAAUCAUAUGAACAUGAUGAAACUAGCAUGACAGAAAUUCAUGUGUGUCCUCGGGAGCGCUUUUCCUCCUAUAAGACUUUGUCCAGGCUUGUCCCUUGCUACAAAAGGGAUUGGGCCACUUUGCUGCACCAUUGCUACUUUUGUUACUUGUCGCUCUCUACGAAUCAUCUCACCACUCAAUCACUUGUUACCGAUAAUUUCAGUGCUUGCAGAUAUUUCCUUGCUGAAAACCACUUGUCGGAUCCUUCUGCUCCUCGUUGGGUUCGACACUCUUACUUAUCUAAAGGACUACGAUUGAUCCCCUAUACUUGUGGGUCAUCAGCAGGCCGUCCCAGGUAGUGAUGGACGCCUUCGGGAGGUUCAGGAGCCAGGAGAGUGCGCCGCCCUUGAGCGCCAUGGGGAACCAACACGCCAUGACCUUGUCGCCUCCGCCCGCCGCCUUGAUGCUCAGCGUGUAAAGUUGCAGGAACUCAGCCGGGUCUUGGUUGCCAUUGUAGCGCGGGGGCAGGCCGGGGCUUGAACUUGCAGGGCAACUUGGCGGGGUAGAGCUCGGGGGCGAUGGCGGGGCACCCCACCGGUCCGACGGGUAUUGUGUGCACGGGAGCCAUCGAGUCUUGUUGCUCCACGGGGUCUGCUUCGAGCGGGGUGCGCUCACGACGCGUAAUUUGCAGUGCUGGGGGCGCGCACACAUCGGCGCGGGGCCGUGGAACCACCUGGCAGCUUGCUUCGUCUCAAGGUCCCGCCCUCGGUUCGUGAGGCCGGUCGCGGGGUCGCGCUUCCUGUCUGGGCUCGGGGUCCGCGACGCGCCGUGGAGGUGGGGGUGGCGCGUCUUCCUCCUCAUUGUUUGUCAGGGACGGUUGGGGUCGGAGUGAGAAGGAGAGUGCCGCGGAGUCACCGGCGGCGAUGAUGAGCUCCUCGAUGCGCUGGAGCCAGUCGUCGUGGCAGUUAGGAGCAGGCCGGUAGCGGGGCAGCUCGGUGGCCAUGGAAAGCGUGCGCCGGCCGUGGGGCAUCUCUGGCCGGUCGCGCGAUACCUACCCUGAAGGUCGGGCGAGUGACGGAGUGGCGGUGCGGCCAUCCGCCUGCUCGGUCGCCGGCUGGGAGGAACCUUGUUGCUCUUGAACCUCGGGGCCGGUGGCAGCAUUCACCACGGGUGACGGCGACCGGCGCGCCGGCAUCGAUGGGCGCUUUCUGGGCGAUGCGGGUGGCACGGUGCUCCACGCGAACCCGGCGAGCGUCAACCAUCGGAGCGGCAGAGCUUGGUAAAGAUGGAUUUUGGACGGAACCUCGACAUACACCCUACCUGGCGCGCCAAAUGUCAGAUUUCGGGCUUCACAAAACCCUAAGGAUUCGAACACAGGGGCGUGUACGAAGAUCUCUCCCUGCUCGGCCUCACCUAGCUCACUACUCGAUGGAAACGACGAAGGACUCGCUCGAUGGUGAGGGGAACGCAAAACACGACAGUUUACCCAGGUUCGGGCCGCUGCGAAGCGUAAAACCCUACUCCUCUUUUGGUGGAUUGCCUCUCUCGGAGGUGGGUGGAUGAACUAGUACAGUGCUCUCGAGCCUCCGGAGGCCAAGUGAUUGAGUGUGUUGCUCUUGAUUGGGAAUGAACUGCCCCCCCCCCCCCCCCGGNNNNNNNNNNNNNNNNNNNNNNNNNNNNNNNNNNNNNNNNNNNNNNNNNNNNNNNNNNNNNNNNNNNNNNNNNNNNNNNNNNNNNNNNNNNNNNNNNNNNNNNNNNNNNNNNNNNNNNNNNNNNNNNNNNNNNNNNNNNNNNNNNNNNNNNNNNNNNNNNNNNNNNNNNNAAGUAUCCUACCCUCUCUCUUUAUAGUGGAGGCCAGGGUCCUCUUCCCUCAUAGCUUCGAGGGGAAGGGGUCCUAAAGCGGCCAAUUUUGAAGGGGGGCAAGGGAACAUGCUCCCCUGCCCAAAGGUGAUCUUCGCCUGCAAAGUAACUGCUCGCGCUGUAGGGAUGGGCCCGAAGGUGACGCUUGCCCUACUGGUGGGCGGUGGCGGCUUCGUUGCAGCAGAAAGGAAACCUUUGGAAGAUGCCUUUGGAACCCCUGUACGCUUCCGCCCCCUUUGCACUAAAGGGGAAACUGUUCCAUCCUGCCAUUUGUUGCUCGCAUGUCCUUCCCCAGCGUCACCCUUGACUCGUGAGGCCCGACCUUGCCUCGGAAUAUCCGCCACUCCGGAGGGGUCGUGAGGAGGCCCCGUGCAGGUCUUGACAAUGCUUCCCAUCGUGAGGCUUGGCCCCUCACAAGGGCCUUGCCUUGAACGGUGUCGGGCCCGUCGGUUUGUUUUUGUGAGGUGAGCCUGCCCUGGGCCACACGCAGGCAGGUCUGGGUACCCCCAUUCCUAGAACGCCGACAACUAGAAAAACCACAAAAAUCUUACUAUAGUAUGUUCCUUGAGAGUCUUUGCGUAGGAGAGGAUAGAUAUGUGACACAAGCUAGAAUAAAAAGUAUUCAUUUUCCCUGUAUUCGCUGCUUUGCAUUGUUUAAUGAAACAUGUGUAGUAGGUAAGCACGACUAUAAUGCACUUUGUGCUCCCGACUUGAGUCUCGUUCACACUACGGUUACUCGUGAGAGAUGAUACAACCUUCGUGCAAGUGUUGCUCGCAGCCUGCACCUUAAUGCGGGUAUUUGUCGGGGAUAUAACCCCACGAUAUAAUUCACCCUAUUGGGUCGGGUCAUCCUGAUGGCGUCUCAUAAGCAAUACACAAGGUGGGCUGAAACUCGGAGGAACAAGACCGGCAAGGCAGCUUACCAAGUAAGUCGGUUUGCGGCCCAAUGUGAGAAGACGGCGAAUCAAGGCCCAAGAGGUGUAAAGUCACCUAGAGUUUCCUUGCUUAGGAGGCAAGGCGAGUUAGAGAUAUACUUGGUCACGAAUCAUAACACGACUCGGACCCUUGUAAGCCAAGGGCCUCGACCUAUAUAUAAAGGCGAGGCCUUGAUACAAAUAGACUUAAGUUGCAAUAGAUCAAUAGCUAGGUCAAGUGAAUCCGCUCCCUUGUAAUUAAUAUCCAAGCAAUAAGCAGAAAGUAGGAGUAGGCUUUUACCUCGAUCAUGAGGGGCCAAACCAGGGUAAACUGUAUGUCUCGAUUCCGAUCAACCCCAACAAGCUAACCAUCCAGUUGCGAUGGCCUCACGUCUAAGUCCUCACACAAGGACAUGUGUGGUGACCAAACCACAAUAGUUGGCACCCACCAUGGGGACAGCGCACUAUGGUUUUGAGUUCUUGAAGGGCUCUUUCCCACGGCUCGAGGGAUACGCCAUUGACAAGAUGACAAAGAGCCACCACGAAAAACUCUACAUCGACGAUGUUGUGUGGGGUCCCGAGGCCGACUCAAUCGAGUACGGGUACCAGGUCCCCUUUGGCAAGAUUCGUGUCUUCAUGAGCAAGAUCGGCGAGUCAGAAUCCGAGUUGAACAUCUGCACCGACCUCAUUGAGUUGGCUCGGCAUGCGCAACCCGCCCGGAGUCAAGUCGGACAGAAGCAUGUUUUUGUUGGUUUUGUGCAAGGUGUAGAACUUGAGGAAAACUCUGUGUCUGGAGGAGAGACUCUUGUUUAUAUAGAUGAUGAGUCCUCAACCAAAGAGACGGAGUCGGUUUAUCUGCUUGAAGAUAGCGGGCUUGGGGGCUACUCCAAUGGCAAUAGUAUUCCGGACCCCAAUGAGCCGCCGUAUCGAGCCGCCAUCUUCAUGAACGGGACGACGCCGGCUCUCCACACUAUAGUGGUCGAAGCAACAACAAUAGUUGACCCUUCAGCACCGGCUUCUGGGGUAUCUGAUUCGGUUAGGCCACCGACUCAAGUUUUGUCUGAGCCGAUGACCACCCUGACAACCUUACUAGGGACCUAGAUCACUGUGGAAAAUCAAGCAAGACGCAAUGCGGAGAUUGCAAAGAUACAUGAACAGAUGACCAAGUCUGAGGAAGACAUUAACGCUGAGAUCACCUGGACAGCAACACUUCAAGCUCAGGUUAAUGUGGAAGCACAUCGUCUGAAGAAGGAGGCAUGGCGUCUUAGCCUUGAUCAAAACACAUCCAAUGCAGUUCUUCGCCGGAGGCACGAUACCCGUUUACCCCCAGUCUAUGAGCCCACACGUUUGCUCAACUCUCCAGGAGCAUGCCCAAGUACUCCACAAGCACCAGUUAUACCCCAAUUGACUUAUGUGAUGCCUGGGGCAGGGUGGCAGCUCAACCUCAUCGGCCAGAGCCAGCACGGAGGGAAGAGCCGGUCCUAGACCUGCCCCUAGUCCACACGACACUCAUGUCUACUGCACAACUUUAUUCUUGUAGACUAUGUUGGGCCUCCAAGCGCAGUGUUUUGUAGGACAGUAGCAAUUUUCCCUCAAGUGGAUGACCUAAGGUUUAUCAAUCCAUGGGAGGUGUAGGAUGAAUAUGGUCUCUCUCAAACAACCCUGCAAUCAAAUAAUAAAUACUCUCUUGUGUCCCCAACACACCCAAUACAAUCGUAAAUUGUAUAGGUGCACUUGUUCGGCGAAGAGAUGGUGAUACAAGUGUAGUGAUGAUAGUAGAUAUAUUUUUUGUAAUCUAAUAAUAUAAAAACAGCAAGGUAGCAAGUGUAAAGCGAGCCUCAUUUUCUAUGGCAUGAGAUUCGGCUUGCUAGCUUUCAGUACAAGCGAGCCUUUCCUCAUGCCUCCUUCAUCCAGGCUCUUAUUGAUCAUGUAGCUGAUUUCUCUGUGGCUGUCACUCACACACAUCGCAAGUGGGUCAUUCCCGCUCACAUGGCGGAUAACUAUGCUCUCAAGAAAACCCCCUCAUCCUCCACAUCCACUCGUCGCACUGCUGCCCGGUCCGCCACCCCCUCAUCUAGCUCCGCUCCUCUCGGUCGCAUUGCCAAAUUCCUUGGCAAGGCCCAUUCUGCUUUGAUGAAGGCCGUCUCUUUCCAGUGUGGCCAAACCCAUGAUGUGGUUUCUCGCUUAGUCUCCUCCAAGAAUGCUCUCAAGGCUCGUCUGAGAGCCUCGGGCGCUCUUGAUGUGAGUGAUGAUGAGGCCACUCCUGCUGCUCCUCCUACUGAUUUUGGCUUCCCAUCUGGUCCUGAGUGGGCUGAUUUCCUUGACGAGGCUGGUGGCAGUGGCUUGCCUAAUGAUGAUGAUGAUGAUGAUGAUGAGCUCUGAGCAUGGUUGUUGCUGGUGGUAUCUCCCUUUUUGGUACUUGGUGCCAAAGCGGGAGUAAUGUAUCGUAGUUUUUAGUCUUUGGAGAUUUAAUGUAAUGGAUAAACUCAUGUAUGGCUACUUAUGAAUGAUUGUGAUUUGCUAUGGAUUGCUAUGAUAUCAUCAUCGACUAUUAUGUUUUGCUCUACUACUUCUAUGAUGAUCUAUUAUCUUUACAUGUUGAUCCAUUGGUUCUUCGAUAUUUUAUCAUGCAUAUACUAAGGGGGAGCUCCGUACUAAAUAUCUCCUAGGCUAUAAUGUAUGUUAAAUCUUUUUGAGACCUAUGUAAAUGUUGUCAUCAACUACCAAAAAGGGGGAGAUUGAAAGUGCAUGCUAUGCCCCUAAUCGACUUUUGGUGUUAAUGACAACACAUACAUAGGAAACUAAUCCUAUUUGUUGAGUGUAUCUCAGGAUGGCAAGUACUUUAGUAAAUUGAGAAUUAUGUGCCAAAGGUUGUCUCAGAAGAUUGGGAUUUAUAAUUCGAGAAGGCUCGGGAUUAUGAAAAGAUGAUGUAGACUAGUCUUUUGAGUUUAGUGAUAUUGAGUAUAGGGAUCUCGCACUAUUAAGAGGGGAUCACAGGUUUUGCGAUGAACUUGAUCAUACCACAUCUUUACUAUCAUACCCAAUACCACACAUUCUCCACUCUGUUCUUCUAUCAAAACAGGUCUAUUGCCUCGGACAUCCGGCUCCCUCCGGACGUCCGAGGGCCGGACGACCGACAGGCUUCGGAAAUCCGCAGCCCUUCACCAGAAGUUUGUGAGUCAUAUAACUCGGAAAUCCGGCUCCCUCCGGACAUCCGAGGGCCAGACGUCCGACCAGCCCCGGAAAUCCGGAACCCUGCACCAGUAGAAGUUGAGUUCUAUAACUCGGAUUUCCGGCUCCCUCCGGACGUCCGAGGGCCGGACGUCCGACCCCCUUCGGAAAUCCGGAACCUACCACGAGAAGAAGUUGAGUCGUAUAACUCGGAUUUCCGGUCCUCUCCGGACGUCCGGUCGUUGUUCAAGUCAAAACAGUUUCAGUCAUAUCUACAUGCCUCGGACGACUGACCCCUGUCGGACGUCCGACCCCUCGCGGACGCUCGGACGUCCGGCAACUGUCGGACGUCCGGACCCUAUGUGACUUAAAGUGCCCCCAACGGCUGGAUUUCACUCCCCACUAUAUAUACUCUUCUCCCACCUCGGGAAAGGGUGUUCAACACAGCUAAGACACAUCCAAGAACACCUUUCCUCUCACUCACUCUUGUCUACACCAAAUCCUAGAUCCCAAGAGCAUUUGUGAGUCCUUUUGAGUGUUGUUCCAAUCAAAAGAUAGAUCGUCUCCCUCUCCUCCUUCCCACCAAAGUGAUUCGUGAUUUGAGCAAGUUUUGAGCAAUCCCCGUGAUCUUGUUACUCUUGGAGGUUGGAGACUCCUAGGCGGUAGGAGUCUUCGGAGAGGAAUCAAACCAUUGUGAUUUCCCCCGGAAAGUUUGUGAAGGUUUGGAAGCCACCUCAAGGCUUACCACUAGUGGUUGAGAAACGCUUUCGUGGAGUUAUCUCAAAGGGAGAAUAGGGUGAGCCUUUGUGGCAUUGGUGUGCCUUCGUGGUAACAUCCGCCCCUCUAAUGGUGACGUAGCUUCCCUCCAAGGAAGUGAACAUCCGGAUACAUCCUUGUCUCUCUUGGAGUUUCGGUUAUUCCUAACCCUAACUCUCUACUUGUGUUAAUCCUUAUUACGUACUUGUAUUUGAUUAUUGUUUACCGCUUGUCUUACUUCACUCUAAAUAGCUUACUCCUUGUUGUAGCAAUUAUUAGGCCUACACUCAUAUUCCGCACUUUUGCCUAAAAUUGCUAAGUAAUUAUUAAAAUUUGGAUUUGUACCUAUUCACCCCCCCCCCCUCUAGGUCCAUCUCGAUCCUUUUCAACAAGGCUCGUGAUAUAUCAAGAUAAUGACAUAUCAAGAACAUGAGAGAGAGAGAGAGAAUAAACACAUAGCUACUAGUACAAACCCUCAGCCUCGAGGGUGGACUACUCCCUCCUCGUCAUGGCCUCCGCCGGGAUGAUGAAGAUGACUACCGGAGAUGAUUUCCCCUCUCUCGCACGGUACUGGAACGUCUCCAGAUUGGUUUUUCAUGUCUACAGAGGCCUGCGGCAGCGAAACUUCUCGUCUAGGGUUAUUUCUGGAGGUUUCUAUAUUUAUAGGAUUUUUGGGCGUUGGAAUCACGCCAAGAUGGGCCAGGAGGUUCCCACUAGAUACCAUGCCGCGCUAGGGGGCUCGCGUGCCCUGGUGUCUAAUGGGCACCAGGGGUCCCCCUCUGGUGGUUCUUUGCUCUAGUAUUCUCUUUUCCACCAAAAAAUCAUCAAAAAGUUUCGUCCAAUUCCGAUAACUUUUAUUUCUGCACACAAAACAACACCUCGGUAGUUCUGUUGAAAACAUCGUUAGUCCGGGUUAGUUCUAAAUAAAUCAUAUAAAGUGCAGCAAAACCAUAUAAAAGUAUUGUAAACAUAGGCAGACAUGCCAUGAAUACUUCAUAAAUUAUCGAUACGUUGGAGAUGUAUCACCGUCCCCAAGCUUAAUUACUACUCGUCCUCGAGUAGGUAAAUGAUAAAAGAAAUAAUUUAUGAAGUGUGAAUGCUAGCAUAGUGCAUAAGUUUGAUCAAUGAUAAUUUCAAUCACUUUUCCUAUCAUCAUAAUGCAACUCUUUCUCAUAAAACUCAUCAUGAUAAAGUAGCAACAAAUUCACAUGUUAUGGUUCAAACAAUGAACUCUCUUGAAACUUAACAACCUAUGUUCUUAGUCACCAAACAAUUGCAAUUCAACUUAUUCUCAACAAAGUCUAAGUAAGAGCUCCACAUACUCAAUCAUCAUAUAGCCUUCUAUGAUUGCUAGUACUCAAAGCAUAUUUUUAGAACAAAUGGCAUCCAUCAAACACAGAGAAAUAUAGGGGCUUAAUGCUUCGCCUCCCAACUCAUUUAUCAUAGAGAUAAUUGUCAACAAUAAUAAGUCAUGAUCAAAUAUAUUUGACUGGCCAUAUGUGCCUAGAUCUUUCCCCACCACAUGAUCCUUGCCAACUAGAGAAUAAUUGAGGUUGAAAUGAGAAUGCAUACUAUUAACUAUUGCAUAAAAGUAAAUAUUGGAAAGUAAAAGGUAGGCCCUUCGUAGAGGGAAGCAGAGGUUGUCAUGCGCUUUUUUGUUUUGUAUGCACAAUCCCUUAAUGCAAAAGAACAUCACGUUAUAUUGCCCCUUAUGAUAGCAACCUUUAUUAUGCAGUCUGUCACUUUUAUUACUUUGCCAUCAGAAGUUCAUACAAUGCUCAUUUUCUCUUGCACUAAAUGAUCAAACAUAUUUAGAAGCAAUUUUUAUUUCCUUUUUGCACCGAUGACAACUUACUUGAAGGAUUUUAUUUAAUCCAUAGGUAGGUAUGGUGGACACUCAUGGCAAGAAACUGGGUUUAAGGGCUUUGGGAUGCACAAGUAGUAUCUGUACUUAGUGCGAAUUUUUGGUUAGCAAAAGAUCCUAAGCAAACACCACAUGUUGGAGGAUCCAUAACAAUAUAACUUCUAUGCAAAUAUACACAACCAUAACUCAUUGCGUUGUCUUCCUUGUCCAACUUCAACUAAUUUGCCCAAGUUUGAAAAUAAUUAAUGGGUAUUCACAAUCAUAGAAGAUGUCCAAGAUAAUAUAUUUAUAUGUGAAAGUUAUCUUCCUUGUACCAAUCAAUCAUGAAUUGCUUGUAUGACCAAUAUUGUGACUGUCAAGCUUCAAAAGAUUUCACUUUCUAAACCCAAUGUGAAGCUACUACUAGGCAUGACUUGAACAUAUAAUUUCAACUUCAUGGUAUUCAACUCAUUCAACAAUUUACUCAUAGGAUAUAAGUGAAGCACAAGAGCAAACAAUCAAACUACUUCCAAAAGAUACAAGUGAAGAUCAAUGAGUAGUUAAACAAUCAAGUAGCUAUGUGAGGACUCUCUCUUAAUAAAGAUUUCCAGAUCUGAUAUUUUAUUUCAAACAACAAAUAAAACAAAAGGCACUCCAAGAAUAGCACAUAUCAUGUGGACAAAUAAAAACUUAGGCUCAACAUAGGCUAACCGAUAUUUGUUCCAUGAAGAGAGGUUGGAUGCGUAGCAUCCCCAAGCUUAGAUGCUUGAGACUUCUUGAAAUAUUUACUUGGGGAAGAGCAUACCCCCGGGUGGAAGAAGUUGCAUGAGAAGAAAAUUGCCUCAGAGGGACAGUUGAAAGACCUCGUAGCGGAACUUAUGAAAGACUUGGCUAAGCUCUACAUCGAGUGUGAGGAGCUCGUGAAGGAAUUAGUGGCUCGUGUGAAGGAACUUCAUGCGUAUAUGAAGGAUAGCAUCGACGCUCUCAAGCAAAAAACCUGCAACAUGGCCACAAUGCGUAAGAUGAUGGAGGAGAGUCAAGAGGAUAUGAAAGUCGUGGAGGCGAUGAAUAAGGGGAUUGGGGAACUCCGAUCCAAGCAAUCCAUCAAGAAUUAGAUAGGAGCGUCCCUGAUCGUUGUUUGUGUCUUCCUUCUUCUGCCACUUCCUUCUUCUUUUGCCCCUGUGUCUUUUGGGAGUUCCCACAUGUAGCAUUUUUUAUUAUCCUAAAUAUGUAAGACAAUUAUUAUCCUUUGCCGAUGCGGAUUUGUCGUUGUAUUAUUUUGUUCUUAAGUACAUGUAUACGAGUUGAAAAUAGGCGAAAAGUCAAGUUCUUAGCGAGGCACGAACAAAACAAUGCUUACAUUGAGUGGGGCAAUGGGAUCACAAGCAACUAGUCCCUUCGUCCAGGCACAUUAACCGCAUGAUAAACAGCGGGUCGGACACAGUUAAUUCAGAAGUUGGGAGCAAGGCGAGCGGAGGGUGGAGGUCAUAGUAUCACUUCCCGAUGAGCCUACACAGCAGACUACUCUCAUGCACCCCGUCGAGUCUGUGCGAUGGACAGAUAUCACGCGUCUCGUCGAGCCUGCGCGGCAAACAACUCUCAUGUUCUCCGCUGAGCGUGUGCGGCGGAAAGUUCGCACACGCCCUACCAUCAAACAGCUGCACGCAAGGAACACCCAUAUCAAGUAAAAAAAAGUUGGAUGUGUGGCACCAAAUGGUUAUCAGAACGCACACGAUUCACGUAAUGCAAUCUUUUGUGAUAAUAAUGUGGCAACUAUCUAUACUAAAAUGUCUAUGUUGCUUGUUAUUGUGUGAGCCUUCUCAAAUUGGAAAACAUACGGUACCAAGGCCUAUAGGUGUCAUGUCAUGACACCGGGGUAAGUUUCAUGAAUUUCAUAUGAGUUUUGUAUUUACAGGAAUUCAAAAAACAAGAUUCUCAAUGAUUGCGGCUGAGACACCAUGCCUGAAUAUUUGUACUUCAUCCACAUUCAUUGCAUGGGACCUAAGAAAGCACCCAGGGACACAAAAAUGAUUUUUCAACAAAUUAUGUUGCACUAGAGCAUGUGCUUCUAGUACAAGAUUUGGAUGACCCAUAUUAGAUCCCUAGAAAACUCAACUGAUUUAUAAAAAGGGCCAAAUGCCCCCUACAUAAUUCCAUAUUUCACCACGCCACCAAUACUAGUCUUUGUUGCAUAUAUAAAAAAUUCCAGUCAAGAGAAUACAUUGAAUGUAGUUUCACCCCAAAGGUGACAUGUUCCCUAUAGAAAUCACAAGUCUUCUUGCAUAAGCCUUGGCUUGUAAGAUGCAUGUCCCAAUACUUGUCUCAAAUUGAUCAUAAAAAUUAGCACGCCGUAUAUGUGUCGUGGCGUAACACUAGGUAAGUUUCAUGAAUUUCAAACGAGUUUUGGAUUUUCGAGGUUUAACAACCAAGAUUCUCAAUGUUUGCGGCCUAUUCACGAUGCCAAGAUGUUUGUAAAUCAUUCACAUCCAGUGCAUGGGAUCUAAAUAGGGACCCAAUGACACAAAAAAUGUUUUUCAACACAUUUUGGUGCCCUCGAGCAUGUGCUUGUAGUUCAAAUUUGAGUUUUGCACAUUAAGUGCCUAAAAAACUCAAUGUCAUUUUCGCCCACAAAUGUGACAUGUUCCCUAUCGAAAUGAUGAGGCUUAUCAUGGGAAGCUCCAAUUUGUAAGAGAUUUGUCCCAAAAUAUGUCCCACGUUGGUCAAAAAAUUUAGCACAACGUACAUGUGGUGUGUCAAGACACUUGGGUAAGUUUCAUGAAUUUCAGACGAGUUUUGGAUUUGUGGGGAUAUAAAAACCCGAAUCCUCAAUGUUUGGAGCCUAGUCACAAUGUCGAGAUGGUCGUAAUCCAUUCACAUUCAUUGCAUGGGACGUAAACAGGGACCCAAGGACACAAAAACGAUUUUCCAACCCAUUUUGGUGUCGUGGAGCAUGUACUUGUAGUUCAAAUUUCAAUUAUGCCCAUUAAUUGUCUAGCAAACUCAAUUAACGUAUAAAGGGGCCAAACGAGCCGUGAAUGAUUACACAUUUUAGCACUGCACUUGUAUUAGUCGAUGUUGCAUGUAGAGAAAAAAAUUAAGAAAUUAAGAGGCGCUGAAUGUCGUUCCGCCUACACAGGUGACAAUUUCCCUACUGAAACCAUGAUGCUUCUUGAGAGAAGCUCUCGUGUGCAAGAGACUUGUCCCAAAUUGGUCAAAAAUAUACCAUGUCAUAUAAGUGUCGUGUCAUGACAUCGGGGUAAGUUUCAUGAAUUUCACACGAGUUUUGGAUUUUGGGGGAUUUAAAAGUCAAUUUUCUCAAUGUUUGCGACCUGGUCACAACGCCGAGAUGUUUGCAAUCCAUUCACAUUCAUUGCACGAGACCUAAAUAGGGACCCAAGGACACAAAUAUGAUUUUUAACCCAUUUUGGUGACAUGGAGCUUGUGCUUUUAGUUCAAAUUUAAAUUAUGCACGUUGAUGACCCACAAGUAUAGGGGAUCAAUCGUAGUCCUUUCGAUAAUUAAGAGUGUCGAACCCAACGAGGAGCAGAAGGAUCUGACAAGUGGUUUCAGCAAGGAAAUAUCUGCAAGCACUGAAAUUAUUGGUAACAAGUGAUUGUGUGGUGAGAUGAUUCGUAGCAAGCAACAAGUAACAAAAGUAGCAACGAUGCAGCAAAGUGGCCCAAUCCCUUUUGUAGCAAGGGACAAGCCUGGCAAAGUCUUAUAGGAGGAAAAACGCUCCCGAGGACACACGGGAAUUUCUGUCAUGCUAGUUUCAUCAUGUUCAUAUGAUUCGCGUUCGUUACUUUGAUAGUUUGAUAUGUGGGUGGACCAACGCUUGGGUACUUCCCUUACUUGGACAAGCAUCCCACUUAUGAUUAACCCCUCUCGCAAGCAUCCACAACUACGGAAGAAGAAUUAAGACAAAGUCUAACCAUAGCAUUAAACUAGUGGAUCCAAAUCAGCCCCUUACGAAGCAACACAUAAACUAGGGUUUAAGCUUCUGUCACUCUAGCAACCCCAUCAUCUACUUACUACUUCCCAAUGCCUUCCUCUAGGCCCAAAUAAUGGUGAAGUGUUAUGUAGUCGACGUUCACAUAACACCACUAGAGGAAAAACAACUUACAACACAUCAAAAUAUCGAACAAAUACCAAAUUCACAUGACUACUAUUAGCAAGACUUAUCCCAUGUCCUCGGGAACAAAAGUAACCACUCACAAAGCAUAAUCAUAUUCAUGACCAGAGAGGUAAUGAGUAGCAUCAAGGAUCUGAACACAAACUCUUCCACCAAAUAAUCCAACUAGCAUCAACUACAAAGAGUAAUCAACACUACUGGCAACCUUACAAGUACCAAUCGGAGUCGCGAGACGGAGAUUGGUUACAAGUGAUGAACUAGGGUUUGGAGAUGAGAUGAUGCUGAUGAAGAUAUUGAUGGUGAUGAGUCCCCUCCAAUGAGAGGAGUGUUGGUGAUGACGAUGGCGACGAUUUCCCCCUCCGAGAGGGAAGUUUCCCAGGCACGAUCGUCCUGCCGGAGCUCUAGAUUGGUUCUGCUCAAGUUCCGCCUCGUGGCGGCGGCGAAUCCACGAAAAAGCUCCUCGCUGAUUUUUUUUUCUGGACGAAACCCUUCAUAUAGCAGAAGAGGGGGGCCAGUGGGCCAGCAGGCUGCCCACAAGCCCCCUUGGAGCGGCCUCGGGGGUGGCAGCGCCGUGCAGGCUUGUGGCCACCUACUAGCGCCCCUCUGGCGCUUCUUCAGCCUAGUAUUUUUUAUAAAUACGGAAAAAAAAUCCUCGUUGAUUUUACGGUGUUUGGAGUUGCGCAGAAUAGGUAUCUCAACUUUGCUCCUCUUUCAGGCCAGAAUUCCAGCUGCAUGCAUUCUCCCUCUUCAUGUAAACCUUGCAAAAUAAGGGAGAAAAGGCAUAAGUAUUGUACCGUCAAGUGAAAUAACAGCCCAAGAAGCGAUAAUACUAACAUGAAAACAUGAUGCAAAAUGGACGUAUCAACUCCCCCAAGCUUAGACCUCGCUUGUCCCCAAGCGAAAGCCUAGCUCAAUAAAUAUGUCCACAUGUUUAGGCAGAGAGGUCUCGACAAAACAAGAUACGAGCAUGCAUGCAUCAUGAUCAUGAUCAUAACAGCCAUACCAACAUAUAAUCUCUCAUGCUAAAGUGAUAAUUCCUUCACAAAGUAAAGCAUGGAUCAAGAACCUUACCGAGAAGUAACAACCGACAACCUUUAGUCAUUGAAGCAAUUGCAAUUUAUCACAACAUCAGAAAGAGUCAAAUAAGAGCUUGUAAAGCAAAUACACAUACUCAAUCAUUCUUUCGUUCUCUACAAUUGCUACAACGCACGUUGUACUCAUGAGAUCAAAGUUUCAGCUGGACACAGAGAAAGAUAGGGGCUUACACUUUUGCCUCCAAACUGCUUACCUCAAGGGUAACUUCAACAAUAAUAAUUCAUGAAUACUUACUUCCAAGUUGACAUAUGAAUAUAGAUCUUUCCCAAGCAUAUGAUGGUAGCCAAGAUAAAGGCGAAAUAAGGAAUUGGUGAAGAUCACCGUGACUCUUUCAAGGGAAAAAAGUAAAGGUACAAGAUAGGCCCUUCGUAGAGGGAAGCAGAGGUUGUCAUGCGCUUUUGAGGUUUGGAUGUGUGUCCUCUUAGUGCGGAGGAACGUCAUUUUAUAUUGCCUCCUGUGAUAAAGAACUUUAUUAUGCAGUUUGUCGCUUUUAUGUCUUCCUCGUCACAGGUUCGUAUGAAGCUUAUUUUCCACACACUAAUAGAUCAUGCAUAUUAGAGAGCAAUUUUUAUUGCUUGCACCGAUGACAACUUACUUGAGGGAUCUUAUUCAAUCCAUAGGUAGGUAUGGUGGACUCUCAUGGCAAAUCUGGGUUGAAGGUUUAUGGAUGCACAAGUAGUAUCUCUACUUGGUGCCGGAGUUUUGGAUAAUAUGAGGUGGAAGAAAUCGUCACAUGCUAAGGGAUCUCUAAUCAUAUAACAUUGUUCGGAGUCAAGCAAACACAAUUCAUUAUGUUGUCUUCCUUGUCCAACAUCUACUUGUAGGCAUGCAAUAGUUUAGUGAGUGUUCACAAUCAUAGAUGGUGUGAGAGAUGAUAUAUUUAUAUGUGAACCUAUCCUUCUUUAUCACUUCCUAUUAAUUGCAACAAUGACCAAGGUCUACGUUUGUCUACCCUCAACAUGUUUCAAUCAUCAUUCUUUUUAUAUGUGAAGCCAUCACUUCCCAUAAGAUCAUUACAUGAUCUUUCAUGCUUUUGUUCUUUUCUCACUCUUUUGAUCAUGGCAAGAGGCAUAUCCCUUCAACUAAGACACUCUUUAUUAUAUGGCUCACGAGCUCGAAUACAUCGGGGGUGACACAAAGCAAAACUCAAGACUAAAACACUAAGACUUUUAAACUACUAGAGAAAAAGAAAGAAAACUGAAAAGGAACAAACUAAAACAAAGGUAAAGGCAAAAGAUGUGAUGGUGAUACGAUACCGGGGCAACUCCCCCAAGCUUGGCACCAGCCAAGGGGAUUGCCCAUACCCACGCUCAGUUAUAUUCCUUUGGUGAUGAUGGUGGUGGAGUUGUUGCAACCUUUGAUUCCAAGAGGGCCAUCAAUCUUUGAUUUAUACCUUGGAGAUCUGUGAUAUAUUUCUCCAACAAAACAACUUCACGAGUGAGAUAAGUAUUGCGAGCAAGAGUUGUUUCACAAAACCUCAAGAGUUCAAUAAAGGAUGGAGACAGUAGGUCGAGGUAGGGUUGGAGGAAAUCCACUUCUUCAACUUCUUCCUUGUUGAGCACAGAUUGCACUUCAUCCCACGCGUGAUCUUUCUCCUUAUCUUUCUCCUUGGUUUCUUUAGGUAACCUCUCCUUAGCCUCCAUGACCUCCAUCCUUUUCAGAUCAGCAUGUAUUUCUCCAUAGACUUGAGGGAGAUUGUUCUCCCCCACAAAUUCCUGGGACGACAUCUUGUCCUAAAUCUGCGGCAGAAAACAGGCUCGAAACGAAAAACAGAGGAAAUCUGCGUGAUACGAGGGUCAGACCAAACGGGAGAGUAUAUAUUGAAUUUUUUCCAGACCAGAAGGAGUACUCCGCACGAAAACGGGGUCCGGGAGGCGCACGAGGUGGCCACAAGCCCUCCCGGCGCGGCCAGGGGGUGGGCCCGCGCCGGGCAGGCUUGUCGCCUCCUCGCGCACUUCCCGAACUAUUUCCAAUUUUUGUAUUUUUUCAAAUAUUCCAAAACGGAGAAAAUUUUGGACUCUCUUUUCAUACCGAAUCACAUACCUCUUCGUUUUCGGAGUCUCAAACAAACUGAUAAAUGUCCCGUAGGUAUUCUUCCGGAGUUAUGGUAUUGAUGAUAUUGCUUUCAACAUUUAUGGGAGUACCUGAGAUAUAAUGCUUGAUUCUCUGCUCAUUUACAACUCUCGGACAAUUACCUUCCGUGUUGUUGAUCUUGAUAGCACCGGAGCGAUAUACUUCCUCAACAACAUAGGGACCNNNNNNNNNNNNNNNNNNNNNNNNNNNNNNNNNNNNNNNNNNNNNNNNNNNNNNNNNNNNNNNNNNNNNNNNNNNNNNNNNNNNNNNNNNNNNNNNNNNNUUCCCAUUUAGAGAGAAGCUUGCCUACAAAGAAUCUUAAACGAGAGUUAUAUAGCAAGACAUAAUCACCUACAUUGAACUAACGCUUUUGUAUCCUCUUAUCAUGCCACCUCUUAACCUUCUCUUUGAACAACUUGGCAUUCUCAUAUGCCUGAGAUCUCCAUUCAUCAAGCGAGUUAAUAUCAAAUAACCUCUACUCACCGGCAAGUUUGAAAUCAAAGUUGAGCUCUUUGAUUGCCCAAUAAGCUUUAUGCUCUAGCUCAAGAGGUAAAUGACAUGCUUUACCGUACACCAUUUUGUACGGAGACAUGCCCAUGGGAUUCUUAUACGCAGUCCUAUAAGCCCACAGUGCAUCAUCGAGCUUCUUAGACCAAUUCUUUCUAGACCUGUUGGUAGUCUUUUGCAGAAUCAGGUUAAUCUCUCUAUUGCUUAGCUCUACUUGACCAGUGGACUAGGGGUGAUAGGGAGAUGCAAUUCUAUGGUUGACAUCGUACUUAGCAAGCGUUUUACGGAAAGCACCAUGAAUGAAAUGUGAACCACCAUCGGUCAUUAGAUAUCUAGGGACUCCAAAUCUAGGGAAAAUAACUUCUUUAAGCAUCCUGAUAGAAGUGUUGUGAUCAGCACUACUAGUGGGGAUAGCUUCUACCCACUUAGUGACGUAAUCAACAACAACUAGGAUGUGAGUAUACCCGUUGGAUUUUGGAAAAGGUCUUAUAUAAUCAAAGCCCCAAACAUCAAAUGGUUCAAUGACAAGUGAAUAGUUCAUAGGCAUUUCCUGACGUUUACCGAUAUUGCCUACUCUUUGACAUUCGUCACAAGACAAGACAAACUUACGCGCAUCCUUAAAGAGAGUGGGCCAAUAGAAACCUGAUUGGAAUACCUUGCGUGCAGUUCUAUCUCCCGCAUGGUGUCCUCCAUAGGCCUUGGAGUGACACUUCUGUAGGAUCUGUCCCUGUUCAUGUUCAGGUACACAACGUCUAAUAACACCAUCUACUCCUACCUUAUAAAGGUGAGGAUCAUUCCAAAAGUAAUGUCUCAAGUCAAAGAAGAAUUUCUUCUUUUGCUGGUAUGUGAAACUAGGUGGUAUAUAUAUUUGGCAACGAUAUAGUUUGCAUAAUCAACAUACCACGGUGCACUACGUGAAGCAUUGAUGACAUUCAAUUGCUUAUCGGGAAAGCUAUCAUCAAUAGGUUGUGGGUCAUCAAGAACGUUCUCCAACCUAUACAAGUUAUCUGCUACGGGGUUAUCAGCACCCUUUCUGUCGACAACGUGCAAAUCAAACUCUUGUAGCAAGAGAACCUAUCUGAUAAGUCUAGGUUUAGCGUCCUUCUUCUCCAUGAGGUACUUAAUGGCAGCGUGAUCAGUGUGAAUAGUGACUUUGGAAUCAACUAUGUAAGACCUGAACUUUUCACAUGCAAACACGACUGCUAAAAACUCCUUCUCCGUAGUAGCAUAGUUUCUUUGGGCACAGUCUAGAGUUUUACUAGCAUAGUGAAUAACAUUCAACUUCUUGUCAACUCUUUGCCCUAGAAUAGCACCAACAACAUAAUCACUAGCAUCACACAUGAUCUCAAAAGGCAAGCUCCAAUCAGCUGGUUGAACAAUAGGUGCAGUUAUCAAAGCCCUCUUAAGUAUUUCGAAGGCUUCCUCACAAUCGUCGUCAAAGAUAAAAGGAAUAUCCUUUUGCAAGAGAUUGGUAAGAGGCCUAGAAAUCUUACAGAAGUCUUUAAUGAACCUUCUAUAGAAGCCAGCAUGACCAAGGAAACUUCUUAUACCUUUGAUAUAUGUGGGGUAUGGCAUUUUCUCGAUUGCAUCAACCUUAGCCUUAUCGACUUCAAUACCUCUUUCAGAAAUUUUAUGUCCUAAGACGAUGCCUUCAUUAACCAUAAAGUGGCACUUCUCCCAAUUCAAGACAAGAUUGGUGUCUUUACAUCUCUGCAAGACUGGAUCAAGGUUGCUGAGGCAAUCAUCAAAGGAAGACCCGUAAACGGAGAAGUCAUCCAUGAAAACCUCAACAAUCUUUUCACAAAAGUCAGAGAAUAUAGCCAUCAUACAUCUUUGAAAGGUGGCAGGUGCAUUACAUAAGCCAAAAGGCAUACGUCUAUAAGCAAAGGUACCGAAAGGGCAAGUGAAAGUGGUCUUCUCCUGAUCAGAUUGCGCAACUGGUAUUUUGGAGAAACCAUAAUAACCGUCUAGAAAGUAGAAGUGUGUGUGUUUAGACAGCCUUUAUAGCAUUUGGUCGAUAAAAGGUAAAGGGUAAUGAUCUUUCCUAGUGGCUUUAUUCAAUUUCCUAAAAUCGAUCACCAUCCUAUAGCCAGUAAUAAUCCUCUGUGGGAUUAAUUCAUGCUUAUCAUUAGGGACAACGGUAAUGCCUCCCUUCUUAGGGACGCAAUGCACCGGACUCACCCAAUCACUAUGAGCAACAGGAUAGAUGAUACCUACUUCCAGGAGCUUUAGUAUUUCUUUUCUCACUACUUCUUUCAUCUUAGGAUUUAAUCUCCUUUGAUGAUCAGCAACUGGUUUGAAAUGAGGAUCAAUUUUAAUCUUGUGCUAGCAUAGAAUAGGACUAAUGCCCUUAAGAUCAUCUAGAGUAUAUCCAAUAGCAGCAUGGUGCUUCCUCAGAUUUUUUAGUAACUUCUUUUCUUUAUGCUAUGAGAGGCUAGCACUAAUAAUAACAAGAUAUAUCUCUUUUUCAUCAAGAUAAGCAUACUUAAGAGUAUCACGCAACUGUUUAAGCUCGAACACAGGAUCAGCCUUUGGUGGGGGUGGAUACCCAAGCAGUUCAACAGGCAGAUUAUUCUUAAGGAUAGGAUAUUGUUCUAAGACAACUCUAUCUAUCUCAUCCCUUUCAUCCAUAUGCAUAUCAUUUUCAUGCUCAAGCAAGUAUUGCUCUAAGGGAUCAGUAGGAGGCACGGCAUUAGAAUCUAAGGCAAUAGUUUCAUCCUUACUAGGCAACUCCUUUUCAUGAGGUUGUCUACCAAACUUAGAGAAAUUGAACUCAUGUGACACACCUUCAAAGCCAACAGUGACAGUUUGCUUCUCACAAUCAAUAUGAGCAUUGACAGUAUUGAGGAAGGGUCUGCCAAAUAUGAUGGGACAAAAGCUAUCUCGUGCAGUAGCAAGAACGAGGAAAUCAGCAGGAUACUUCGUUUUACCACACAAGACUUCAACAUCCCUAACAAUUCCAACAGGGCAGAUAGUAUCUCUAUUGGCAAGCUGAAUAGUGACAUCAAUAGGUUCUAUCUCAACAGGUGCAAUCUCGUCUUUGAUUUCAUCAUAUAAGGAUUGAGGUAUUGGACUAACACUAGCACCCACGUCACAUAAGCCAUGAUAACAAUGAUCUGCUAUCUUAACAGAAACAACAGGCAUGCCAACAACAAGCCUAUGUUUGUCUCUAGCGUGAGGUUUAGCAAUUCUAGCAGCAUCUUCACAGAAGUGCAUAUUAUGUUCAUCAACAUCGUCGUACAGAAGAUCUUUGAUGAUAGCAAUACUAGGUUCAACUCUAAUUUGCUCAGGGGGUGUAGGUGUUCUAAUAUAGCCUCUACGUAUAACAGUUGAAGCUUUAGAAUGAUCCUUUAUCCUAACAGGGAAAGGUGGUUUCUCAAUGUAAGCACUGGGAACAAUAGGAUCAUUAUAGGCAAUGACUUUCUCUUCAACUGGAAUGGGUUUAACUACAUUAACUUCUAAAGGAGGAUGAUAUUUAAACCACUUCUCUUUGGGGAGAUCAAUAUGAGAAGCAAAGGAUUCACACAGUGAAUCUACUAUCGCAGAGUCAAGUCCAUACUUAGCGCUAAAGUCACAGAAAGUAUUUGUCUCAACAAAGUAUUUAACGCAAUCAAACGUGAAAUUCAUACCUGACUCCUUACCUUCUUCAAGCUCCCAAUCUUUAGAGUUGCGUUUAAUUCGCUCCAAUAAAUUACAUUUGAAGUCAAUAUCUCUCUUCAUAAAAGAACCGGUACAAGAAGUGUCAAGCAUGAUGCGAUCAUCAUGAGAAAGCCGAGCAUAGAAGUUCUGAAUGAUAAUUUCUCUCGAGAGCUCAUGAUUGGGGCAUGAAUAUAGCAUUGAUUUAAGCCUCCCCCAAGCUUGAGCGAUGCUUUCUCUGUCACGAGGCCAAAAAUUAUAAAUAUAAUUCCGAUCACGAUGUACUAAAUGCAUAGGAUAAAACUUUUGAUGAAAUUCCAAUUUCAACCGAUUGUAGCCCCAUGAUCCAAUAUCAUCACAUAGCCUAUACCAUGCCAACAUCUUAUCCUUCAAAGAUAAAGGAAAGACCUUCUUCUUGACCUCAUCCUCAGGCAAACCUGCAAGCUUAAAUAAACCACAAACUUCAUCUACAUAGAUUAGAUGCAAGUCUCGAUGUGCUGUUCCAUCUCCUGUAAAAGGAUUAGCCAGCAGUUUCUCAAGCAUACCCGAAGGAAAUCCAAAGCAAAUAUUUUCAGUAGGUGCAGCAGGUUGAGGAGCAACUAUUUGUGCUUCCGUUCGAGGUGAAGAUACCCCGAACAAGCCCCUCAAAGGAUUAGUAUCCAUAGUGACAAGUGACAAUAAAUUUCAGCACACUAUAUGAAUGUUUCCUUACCAAGUUCCACUUAGCAAAGGCGCUUCACUCCCCGGCAACGGCGCCAGAAAAGAGUCUUGAUGACCCACAAGUAUAGGGUAUCAAUCGUAGUCCUUUCGAUAAGUAAGAGUGUCGAACCCAACGAGGAGCAAAAGGAUCUGACAAGUGGUUUUCAGCAAGGAAAUAUCUCCAAGCACUGAAAUUAUCGGUACCAAGUGAUCGUGUGGUGAGAUGAUUCGUAGCAAGCAACAAGUAACAAAAGUAGCAACGGUGCAGCAAAGUGNUUUGAUAUGUGGGUGGACCAACGCUUGGGUACUGCCCUUACUUGGACAAGUAUCCCACUUAUGAUUAACCCCUCUCGCAAGCAUCCGCAACUAUGAAAGAAGAAUUAAGACAAAGUCUAACCAUAGCAUUAAACUAGUGGAUCCAAAUCAGCCCCUUACGAAGCAACGCAUAAACUAGGGUNNNNNNNNNNNNNNNNNNNNNNNNNNNNNNNNNNNNNNNNNNNNNNNNNNNNNNNNNNNNNNNNNNNNNNNNNNNNNNNNNNNNNNNNNNNNNNNNNNNNNNNNNNNNNNNNNNNNNNNNNNNNNNNNNNAGCUUCUGUCACUCUAGAAACCCAUCAUCUACUUACUACUUCCCAAUGCCUUCCUCUAGGCUCAAAUAAUGGUGAAGUGUUAUGUAGUCGGCGUUCACAUAACACCACUAGAGGAAAAACAACAUACAACACAUCAAAAUAUCGAACGAAUACCAAAUUCACAUGACUACUAUUAGCAUGAGUUAUCCCAUGUCCUCAGGAACAAAAGUAACUACUCACAAAGCAUAAUCAUAUUCAUGACCAGAGAGGUAAUGAGUAGCAUCAAGGAUCUGAACAUAAACUCUUCCACCAAAUAAUCCAACUAGCAUCAACUACAAAGAGUAAUCAACACUACUAGCAACCUUACAAGUACCAAUCGGAGUCGCGAGACGGAGAUUGGUUACAAGUGAUGAACUAGGGUUUGGAGAUGAGAUGGUGAUGAGUCCCCUCCGAUGAGAGGAGUGUUGGUGAUGACGAUGGCGAUGAUUUCCCCCUCCGGGAGGGAAGUUUUCCCGGCAGGAUCGUCCUGCCGGAGCUCUAGAUUGGUUCUACUCAAGUUCCGCCUCGUAGCGGCGGUGAAUACACGAAAAAGCUCCUCGCUGAUUUUUUUUCCCUGGACGAAUCCACGAAUCAAUGUGACUUAGUGUAAGUCACGGGAUCUUGUAUUACAGAACGAGUAAAGAGACUUACCGGUAAACCAGAUUGAAAUAGGUAUGCCGAUACUAACGAUCGAAUCUCGGGCAAGUAACAUACCGAAGGACAAAGGGAAUGACAUACGUGGUUAUAUGAAUGCUUGGCACUGAGGUUCAAUCGAUAAGAUCUUCGUAGAAUAUGUAGGAUCCAAUAUGGGCAUCCAGGUCCCGCUAUUGGAUAUUGACCAAGGAGUCCCUCGGGUCAUGUCUACAUAGUUCUCGAACCCGCGGGGUCUGCACUCUUAAGGUUCGACGUUGUUUUAUGCGUAUUUGUGUUAUAUGGUUGGUUACCGAAUGUUGUUCGGAGUCCCGAAUGAGAUCACGGACGUCACGAGGGUUUCCGGAAUGGUCCGGAGACAAAGAUUGAUAUAUAGGAUGACCUCAUUUGAUUACUGGAAAGUUUUCGGCAUUACCGGGAAUGUACCGGGAGUGACGAAUGGGUUCCGGAUGUUCACCGGGGGGCAGCCCACUCGGGGGAAGCCCAUGGACCUUAGGGGUGCCGCACCAGCCCUUAGUGGGCUGGCGGGACAGCCCAAGCGGCCCUAUGCGCAGGAGAAGAAAAAAAUCAAAGGAAAAAGAAAAAAAGGGAAGUGGGAAGGAAGGGAAGGACUCCACCUUCCAAUCCUAGUUGGACUAGGAUUGGAGGAGGAUUCCUCCCCCCCUUGCUUCGGCCGACCCCUUGGGGCUCUCUUGAGCCUCAAGGCAAGGCCCUCCCCCUCCCUCCUAUAUAUACUGAGGUAUUAGGGCUGAUUUGAGACAACUUUGCCACGGCAGCCCGAUCACAUACCUCAACGGUUUUUCCUCUAGAUCGUAUUUGUGCGAAGCUCGGGCGGAGCCCUGCUGAGAUAGAUCACCACCAACCUCCGGAGUGCCGUCACGCUGCUGGAGAACUCAUCUACCUCUCCGUCUCUCUUGCUGGAUCAAGAAGGCCAAGCUCAUCGUCGAGCUGUACGUGUGCUGAACGCGGAGGUGCCGUCCGUUCGGCACUAGAUCGGAGCGGAUCGUGGGACGGAUCGCGGGACGGUUCGUGGGACAGUUCGCGGGGCGGAUCGAGGGCCAUGAGGACGUUCCACUACAUCAACCGUGUUUCUUAGCGCUUCCUGCUGUGCGAUCUACAAGGGUACGUAGAUCCAAACCCCCUCUCAUAGAUGGACAUCACCAUGAUAGGUCUUCAUGCGCGUAGGAAAUUUUUUAUUUCCCAUGCGACGUUCCCCAACAGUGGUAUCAGAGCUUGGUUCAUGCGUAAAUGUUAUCUCGAGUAGAACACAAAAGUUUUUGUGGGCGGUGAUGUGCGAUUUGCUGCCCUCCUUAGUCUUUUCUUGAUUAUGCGGUAUUGUUGGAUCGAAGCGGCUCGGACCGACAUUACUCGUACGCUUACGAGAGACUGGUUUCGUCGCUACGAGCAACCCCGUUGCUCAAAGAUGACCGGCGAGUGUCGGUUUCUCCAACUUUAGUUGAAUCGGAUUUGACCAAGGAGGUCCUUGGAGAGAGGUUAAAUAGCAAUUCAUACAUCUCCGUUGUGGUGUUUGCGUAAGUAAGAUGCGAUCCUACUAGAUACCCAUGGCAACCGCGUAAAACAUGCAACAACAAUUAGAGGACGUCUGACUUGUUUUUGCAGGGUAUGCUUGUGAUGUGAUAUGGCCAACGACGUGAUGUGAUAUAUUGGAUGUAUGAGAUGAUCAUGUUGUAAUAGUUAAUAUCGACUUGCACGUCGAUGGUACGGCAACCGGCAGGAGCCAUAGGGUUGUCUUUAAACUAACGUUUGUGUUUGCAGAUGCGUUUACUAUAUUGCUAGGAAGUAGCUUUAGUAGUAAUGGCAUAAGUAGCACGACAACCCCGAUGGCGACACGUUGAUGGAGAUCAUGGUGUGGAGCUGGUGACAAGAAGAUUGUGUCGGUGCUUUGGUGAUGGAGAUCAAGAAGCACAUGAUGAUGGCCAUAUCAUGUCACUUAUGAAUUGCAUGUGAUGUUAAUCCUUUUAUGCACCUUAUUUUGCUUAGAACAACGGUAGCAUAAUGAGGUGAUCUCUCACUAAAAUUUCAAGACGAAAUUGUGUUCUCCCCGACUGUGCACCGUUGCUACAGUUCAUCGUUUCGAGACACCACGUGAUGAUCGGGUGUGAUAGACUCAACGUUCACAUACAACGGGUGCAAAACAGUUGCACACGCGGAACACUCGGGUUAAACUUGAGGAGCCUAGCAUGUGCAGACAUGGCCUUGGAACACAAGAGACCGAAAGGUCGAGCAUGAAUCAUAUAGUUGAUAUGAUUAGCAUAGAGAUGCUUACCACUGAAACUAUUCUCGACUCACGUGAUGAUCGGACUUGAGAUAGUGAAUUUGGAUCAUGUACCACUCAAAUGACUAGAGAGAUGUACUUUUUGAGUGGGAAUUCUUAAGUAAUAUGAUUAAUUGAACUAAUUAUCAUGAACAUAGUCUAAUGGUCUUUGCGAAUUAAGAUGUAGCUUGCGCUAUAGCUCUACUGUUUUUAUAUGUUCCUAGAGAAAAUUUAGUUGAAAGUUCAUAGUAUCAACUUUGCGGACUUAGUCCGUAAAACUGAGGAUUGUCCUCAUUGCUGCGUAGAAGGCUUAUGUCCUUAAUGCACCACUCGGUGUGUUGCACCUCAAGCGUCGUCUCUGGAUGUUGCGAACAUCUGACAUACACAUUUUUGAUGACUACGUGAUAGUUCAGUGCGCAAUACUUAAUGGCUUAGAAGCAAGGCGCCGAAGACAUUUUGAAAACGUUGCAGAACAUAAGAGAUGUUCAAGGAGAUGAAAUUGAGAUUUCAUGCUCAUGCCCUUGUUGAGAGAUAUAAGACCUCCGACAAGAUUCUUUGCCUACAAAGUAAAGGAGAAAAGCUCAAAAUCGUUGAGCAUGUUCUCAGAUUGUCUGAGUACAACGAUCGCUUGAAUCAAGUGGGAGUUAAUCUUCCAGAUAAGAUAGUGAUGGUUCUCCAAAGUCACUGCCACUAAGCUGCUAGAGCUUCGUGAUGAACUAUAACAUAUCAAGGAUAGAUACAAUGAUCCUUGAGCGAUUCGCGAUGUUUGACACUGCGAAAGUAGAAAUCAAUAAGGAGCAUCAAUAGUUGAUGGUUAGUAAAACCACUAAGUUUCAAGAAAGGCAAGGGCUAGAAGGGAUACUUCGUGAAACGGCAAAACAGUUGCUGCACUAAUGAAGAGACCCAAGAUUAAACCCAAACCCGAGACUAAGUGCUUUUGUUAUGAGGGGAACGGUCACUGAGGCAGAGCUACCCUAGAUGCUUGGUAGAUAAGAAGGCUGGCAAAGUCGACAGAAGUAUAUUUGAUAUACAUGAUGUUGAUGUGUACUUUACUAGUACUCCUAGUAGCGCGAGGGUAUUGGAUACCGGUUCGGUUACUAAGUGAUUAGUAACACGAAAUGAAAGCUACGGAAUAAACGGAGACUAGCUAAAAGCGAGGUGACGAUACGUGUUGGAAGUGUUUCCAAGGUUGAUAUGAUCAAAUGUCGCACGCUCCCUCUACCAUCGGGAUUUGUGUUAAACCUAAAUAAUUGUUAUUUGGUGCUUGCGUUAAGCAUGAACAUGAUUGGAUCAUGUUUAUUGCAAUACGAUUAUUCAUUUAAAAAGAAUAAUGGUUACUCUAUUUUCUUGAAUAAACACCUUCAAUGGUUUAUUAAAUCUCGAUCGUAGUGUUACACAUGUUCAUGAUAUUGGUGCCAAAAGAUACAAGGUAAUGAUGAUAGUACCACUUACUUGUGGCACUGCCGCUUGAGUCGUGUUGGUAUAAAUUGCAUGAAGAGGCUCUGUUCUGAUGGAUCUUUAUACUCACUUGAUUUUGAAUCACUUGUGACACGAAAAUCAUACCACAUGAGCAAGGCCUUGUUUUCAUUGAGAUGAGACAAGAUAGUAACUUGUUGGAAGUAAUACAUUUUGAUGUAUGAAGUCCAAUGGGUGUUGAGGCACACAGUGGAUAUCAUUAUGUUCUUACUUCAAUGACGAUUUGAGUAGAUACAUGAGUAUUUACUUAAUGAAUCACAAGUCUGAAAUAUUGAAAAAGUUCAAUUCUGUUUCAGAGUGAAGUUCGUCGUAACAAGAGGAUAAACUAUCUACGAUAUGAUCAUAGAGAUGAAUAUCUGAGUUGCGAGUUUUGGUACACAGUUAAGACAAUGUGGAAGUUGUUUUGCAGUUCAUGCCACCUGGAACACCAUAGUCAGAUGAUGUGUCCAAAUGUCAUAGCUAUGCCAUAUUUGAUAUGGUGCAUACUAUGAUGUCUCUUAUCGAAUUACCACUAUCGUUUAUGGGUUAUACAUUAGAGACAACCGCAUUCACUUUAAAUAGGGCACCGCGUAUUUCCGCUGAGAUGACACAGUAUAGACUAUGGUUUGGAGAAACCUAAGUUGUCGUUUCUUGAAAAUUUGGGGUUGCGAUGCUUAUGUGAAAAGGUUUUAGUCUGAUAAGCUCGAACCCAAAGCGGAUAAAUGCAUCUUCAUAGGAUAUCCAAAAUAAUUGGAUAUAUCUCCUAUCUCAAAUCCGGAAGCAAAGUGUUUGUUUCUAGAAACGGAUCCUUUCUCGAGGAAAGGUUUCUCUCGAGAGAAUUGAGUGGGAGAGUGGUGGAACUUGAUGAGGUUAUUGAACCGUCACUUCAACCAGUGUGUAGCAGGGCGCAGGAAGUUGUUCCUGUGGCGCCUACACCAAUUGAAGUGGAAGCUGAUGAUAGUGAUCAUUACAGCUUCGGAUCAAGUUACUACAAACCUCGUAGGUCGACAAAGGUCGCUUACUACUACAGAGUGGUACGGUAACCCUGUCUUGGAGGUCAUGUUGUUGAGCAACAAUGAACCUACGAGUUAUGGAGAAGCAAUGGUGGGCCCGGAUUCCGACAAAUGGCUGGAGGCCAUGAAAUCCGAGAGAGGAUCCAUGUAUAAAACAAAGUGUAGACUUUGGAAGAACUACUUGAUGGUAGUAAGACUAUUAAGAAAGGAUGGAUCUUUAAAAGGAAGACAAACGAUGAUGGUGAUAAGUCACUAUUAAGAAAAGCUCGACUUGUCACAAAGAUGUUUUCGACAAGAUCAAAGAGUUGACUAUGAUGUGACUUUCUCACUCGUAGCGAUGCUAAAAGUCUGUUGGAAUUAUGUUAGUAGUUGCUGCAUUAUUUAUGAAAUAUUGCACAUAUGAAGUCAAAACAUUGUUUCCUCGACGGUUUCCUCGAGGAAAGAUUGUAUGUGAUACAAUCAGAAUGUUUUGUCGAUCCUAAGGAUACUAACAAGUAUUCAAGCUCCAGCGAUCCUUCAAUGGACUGGUGCAAGCAUCCGGAGUUGGAAUAUACACUUUGAUGAGAUGAUCAAAGAUUUUGGGUUCAUAGAAGGUUUAUGAGAAACUUGUAUUUCCAAAGAAGUGAGUGGGAGCACUAUAGAUUUUAUGAUAAGUAUAUGUGGUUGACAUAUUGUUGAUCAGAAGUAAUGUAGAAUUUUUGUGAAGCAUAAAAGGUUGUUUGAAAGGAGUUUUUCAAAGGAAUACCUGGAUUGAGCUACUUGAACGUUGAGCAUCAAGAUCUAUGGAGAUAGGUCGAAACACUUAAUAGAAGUUUCAACAAGAUGCAUGCAUAGACAAGUUUUUGAAGGAGUUCAAAAUAGAUCAGCAAAGAAGGAGUUCUUGACUGUGUUGUAAGGUGUGAAUUUGAGUAAGACUCAAAACCUGACCAUGGCAGAAUAAAGAGAAUAUACGAAGGUCGUCUUCUAUGCCUUGGCAGUAGACUCUAAAGUAUGCCAUGCUGAGUACCGCACCUGAUGUGUGCCUUGCAGCAAGUCUGUUAAGAGGUACACGGAGUGAUCCAGGAUUGAAUCACUGAUCAGCGGUCAAAGUUAUCCUUAGUAACUAAAUGAACUAAGGAUUUUUUUUCUCGAUUAUGGAGGUGGUUAAAGAGUUCGUCGUAAAGGGCUACGUUGAUGCAAGCUUUGACACUAAUCUGAAUAACUAUGAGUAGUGAAACGGAUUCGUAUAGUAGAUAUUUGGAGUAUUUCCGAAUAGCACGUAGUAGCAGCAUCUAUAAGAUGGCAUAAAUAUUUGUAAAGCUCACUCGUAUCUGAAAGGGUUCAGAACCGUCGACUAAAACCUCUCUCACAAGCGAGACAUGGUCAAACCCCAGAACUGUAAGAGUGUUGGAUUCGUUAGAACCACAUAGGGAUGUGGACUAGAUUAUUGACUCUAGUGCAAGUGGGAGACUGUUGGAAAUAUGCCCUGGAGGCAAUAAUAAAUUAGUUAUUAUAUAUUUCUUUGUUCAUAAUAAUCGUUUAUUAUCCAUGCUAUAAUUGUGUUGAAUGAAGACUUAGAUACAUGUGUGGAUACAUAGACAAAACACUGUCCCUAGCAAGCCUCUAAAUUGGCUAGUCAGUUGAUCAAGGAUAGUCAAGGUCUUCUGACUAUGUACAAGGUGUUGUUGCUUGAUAACUGGAUCACAUCAUUGGGUGAAUCAUGUGAUGGACUAGACCCAAACUAAUGAACGUAGCAUGUUGAUCGUGUCAUUUUGUUGCUACUGUUUUCUGCGUGUCAAGUAUUUAUUCCUAUGACCAUGAGAUCAUAUAACUCACUGGCACCGGAGGAAUGCCUUAUGUGUAUCAAACGUAACAACGUAACUGGGUGACUAUAAAGAUGCUCUACAGGUAUCUCCGAAGGUGCCCGUUGAGUUAGUAUGGAUCAAGACUCGGAUUUGUCACUCCGUGUGACGGAGAGGUAUCUCGGGCCCACUCGGUAAUACAACAUCACACACAAGCCUUGCAAGCAAUGUGACUUAGUGUAAGUCACGGGAUCUUGUAUUACGGAACGAGUAAAGAGACUCACCGGUAAACGAGAUUGAAAUAGGUAUGCGGAUACUGACGAUCGAAUCUCGGGCAAGUAACAUACCGAAGGACAAAGGGAAUGACAUACGGGAUUAUAUGAAUGCCUGGCACUGAGGUUCAAUCGAUAAGAUCUUCGUAGAAUAUGUAGGAUCCAAUAUGGGCAUCCAGGUCCUGCUAUUGGAUAUUGACCAAGGAGUCCCUCGGGUCAUGUCUACAUAGUUCUCGAACCCGCACGGUCUGCACAUUUAAGGUUCGGCGUUGUUUUAUGCGUAUUUGAGUUAUAUGGAAUGUUGUUCGGAGUCUCGGAUGAGAUCACGGACGUCACGAGGGUUUCCGGAAUGGUCCGGAGAUGAAGAAUGAUAUAUAGGAUGACCUCAUUUGAUUACCGGAAAGUUUUCGGCAUUACCGAGAAUGUACCGGUAGUGACGAAUGGGAUCCGGAUGUUCACCGGGGGGCAGCCCGCCCGGGGGAAACUCAUAGGCCUUAGGGGUGCCGCACCAGCCCUUAGUGGGCUGGUGGUACAGCCCAAGAGGCCCUAUGCGCAGAGAAGAAAAAAUCAAAGGAAAAAGAAAAAAGGGGAAGUGGGAAGGAAGGGAAGGACUCCACCUUCCAAUCCUAGUUGGACUAGGAUUGGAGGAGGAUUCCUCCCCCCUUGCUUCGACCGACCCUUGGGGCUCUCUUGAGCCUCAAGGCAAGGCCCUCCCCCUCCCUCCUAUAUAUACUGAGGUAUUAGGGCUGAUUUGAGACAACUUUGCCACGGCAGCCCGACCACAUACCUCCACGGUUUUUCCUUUAGAUCGUAUUUUUGCGGAGCUCGGGCGGAACCCUGCUGAGAUAGAUCACCACCAACCUCCGGAGUGCCGUCACUCUGCCGGAGAACUCAUCUACCUCUCUGUCUCUCUUGCUGGAUCAAGAAGGCCAAGAUCAUCGUCGAGCUAUACGUGUGCUGAACGCGGAGAUGUCGUCCGUUCGACACUAGAUCGGAGCGGAUCGCGGGACGGUUCGUGGGACGAUUCGCGAGGCGGAUCGAGGGACGUGAGGACGUUCCACUACAUCAACCGCAUUUCUUAACGCUUCCUGUUGUGCGAUCUACAAGGGUACGUAGAUCCAAAUCCCCUCUCGUAGAUGGACAUCACCAUGAUAGGUCUUCGUGCGCGUAGGAAUUUUUUUGUUUCCCAUGCGACGUUCCCCAACACAAGUAAGGGCAAUACCCAAGCGUCGGUCCACCCACAUAUCAAACUAUCAAAGUAACAAACGGGAAUCAUAUGAACAUGAUGAAAACUAGCAUGACAGAAAUUCCCGUGUGUCCUCGGGAGCGUUUUUCCUCCUAUAAGACUUUGUCCAGGCUUGUCCCUUGCUACAAAAGGGAUUGGGCCACUUUGCUGCACCAUUGUUACUUUCGUUACUUGUUUCUUGCUACGAAUCAUCUCACCACACAACCACUUGUUACCGAUAAUUUCAGUUAGUGCAGACAUUACCUUGCUGAAAACCACUUGUCAUAUACUUCUGCUCCUCGUUGGGUUCGACACUCUUACUUAUCGAAAGGACUACGAUAGAUCCCCUAUACUUGUGGGUCAUCAGCCAGCGCCACAAAGAUGGGCUUACUUCCAAGGAACGGGUCGCUCUGCACAAUAUCAGAUCCUUUUGCGCGGGACUCCUCAAAAAAUUGGCGCCUCCCUUGCUCAAGGAAUUUGAAGGGCUACGUGGCGUCAAGGCAGGACAUGAUCCUUUCACCCCGAGGCGUGCAACUCACUCUAUCUCGUUGGGGGGCAAUCAGAAAUCGAAGGCUUCGGUGGCGACACAGUGCUGCUGAAAGCGCUGGGCUUCGACAGUAACAAUGUGGCUGUUUCUGAAGACGCACUUGGACAGCUACGUAUGGUCUUUGACUCACCCUUGCAGGAGCCGCAACUAAGAGCUAUCGCCACCAUUUUUGGGAAGGCUAUCCCCCGCAACAUCAUCGACGAUUUGGAGAGGAACGAUGACACUGUGGUGUAGUAUCCGGGCAGGGCGUUGACAGGAGAUGCACUUGAUUCCAUGUCGACUGUCAAUUUGGAGGUGGUGUGCUGGAACGUGAGGGGUCUUAAUAGCCCCAUCAAGAGGAAGGCGUUGAGAGAGUGAUACGCCUCCGCCGUAUCUACUUUUCCGAACUCUUUUGCCCUUGUUUUCGACUCUAAUUUGCAUGAUUUGAAUGGAACUAACCCGGACUAACGCUGUUUUCAGCAGAAUUGCCAUGGUGUUGUUUUUGUGCAGAAAUAAAGUUCUCGGAAUGACCUGAAAAUUUACGGAGAUUUUUAUGGAAUUAAUGAAAAAUAGCUGCGCAAAGAUCCACCGGAGGAGGUGAGCCAGUGGGCCACAAGCCCAGGAGGCGCGACCACCCCCCUAGCCGCGCCUACCAAGCUUGUGGGGCCCACGUUGCUCCAUCGCCUCCAAUCUCAGCUCUAUUUAGUCCGUCUCGCCCGAAAAAAAUCAAGGAGAAGAGUUCAUCGCAUUUUACGAUACGGAGGCGCCGCCACCUCCUGUUCUUCAUCUGGAGGGCAGAUCUUGAAUCCGUUCUGGGCUCCGGAGAGGGGAGAUCGUCGCCAUCGUCAUCAUCAACCUUCCUUCAUCUCCAAUUCCAUGAUGCUCUUCACCGUUCGUGAGUAAUCUCAUCGUAGGCUUGCUGGACGGUGAUGAGUUGGAUGAGAUCUAUCAUGUAAUCGAGUUAGUUUUGACGGGGAUUGAUCCCUAGUAUCCACUAUGUUCUGAGAUUUAUGUUGCUACUACUUUGCCAUGCUUAAUGCUUGUCACUAGGGCCUGAGUGCCAUGAUUUCAGAUCUGAACCUAUUAUGUUGUCGCCAAUAUAUGUAUGUUUUAGAUCCUAUCUUGCAAGUUGUAGUCACCUACUAUGUGUUAUGACCCGACACCCCCGGAGUGACAAUAGCCGAAACCACUCCCGGAGAUGACCAUGGUAUGAGGAGUUCAUGUAUUCACCAAGUGUUAAUGCGUUGGUCCGGUUCUUUAUUAAAAGGAGAACCUUAAUAUCCCGUAGUUUCCAUUAGGACCCCGCUGCCACGGGAGGGAUGGACAAUAGAUGUCAUGCAAGUUCUUUUCCCUAAGCACGUGUAACUACAUACGGAAUACAUGCCUACAUUAGAUUGACGAACGGGAGCUAGUUACUUAUCUCUCCGUGUUAUAGCUGUUACAUGAUGAAUAACAUCCGGCAUAAUCAUCCAUCACCGAUCCAAUGCCUACGAGUCUUUUACUACUGGUCCUUGCUAUGUUACUUUGCUGCUGCUACUGUUACUCUAUUGCUACUGCUGUUACUCUGCUGCUACUGGUUACUGUUGCUACUGCUGCUAUCAUACGACCUUGCUACUGAUACUUUGUUGCAGACACUAAAUCUUUCAGGUGUGGUUGAAUUGACAACUCAGCUGCUAAUACUUGAGAAUAUUCUUUCGCUUCCCCUUGAGUCGAAUCAAUAAAUUUGGGUUGAAUACUCUACCCUCGAAAACUGCUGCGAUCCCCAUAUACUUAUGGGUUAUCAGAGAGUUUGUGGACUCGAUCCGCAUGGUGAUAGUUUGUAUUCUAGAGUCUAAGCUUGAGGCGGUGGACAAAUAUGUAAUAUUGCCAUGCAUGGGGACAAACUAUGAUGGCUUUACUUACCUCCCGACGUAGGCUACUAGGGGAGGCAUAAUUCUGGCAUGGGACUCCUCUAGGGCGCGGAUCUCUAACUUUGUCAAUGACACUAACUUCAUCACCGGAUACGUCUCGCCCACGGAGGGCACUCCAUGGUGGAUAUCCGUGGUGUACAUGCAGCAGGAGGACGAGCAGAAAAUUAACUUCUUGCGAGAAUUAUCGGACCGUAGAUCGCUCUGCCCGGGGCCUUGGCUUGCUAUUGGAGACUUUAACCUAAUCCUACAUGCGGCUGACAAAAACAACCCGAUCUUGGACAGGAGAAUGAUGGGGACGUUCAAACGCUCCGUCGACGAUAAUGCCCUAAAAGAGUUGUUUCUACAUGGAAGGAAAUACAUGUGGUGCAAUGAGAGGGAGGUGCCCACGCUCACUAAAAUUGACCGUGCGUUUGUAUUUGUGGAUUGGGAGCUUGAUCACCCGGACUGUCUCUUACAAGCUCUCUCCACCGCAUCCUCUGACCACUGCCCGUUGCAUCUAGCUAUGGAGGAUCAUGUGCACAUCAAGAGGCGGUUCCGGUUUGAGAGGUUCUGGAUUAACAUGGACGGCUUCAUGGAUGUGGUCCGUGAGGCUUGGGUAUGCGAUGAUAGCAUCACUGACCCUUUCUUGCGGCUCGAUCGCUUGCUCAGGAACACUGCGAAAGAACUGGCGGCGUGGGGCCAAAAGAAAAUUGGGAACAUCAAACUACAGAUCGCAAUUGCGAAUAUACUCAUCCUCCGGUUCGAUUGCGCUCAUGAGACUCGGCUGCUUACUGACAGCGAGAGAUGGCUCAGGAGAACGCUCAAGCAGCUGGUGUUGGGUCUCGCAUCCCUAGUGAGGACUAUUGCUAGACAAAGAUCACACAUAUCCUGGCUGCGCAAGGGAGAUGCCAACACGAAGCUCUUUCAUCUCGUGGCUAAUGGGAGGAGGAUGAAGAACCACAUCUCGGCGAUCACAGUGGAUGGUCAGAUCAUCACUGAUCAGAGGGGGAAGGAGGAGGCCUUCCACCAGGCGUAUCAUGAACUACUUGGGAAGGACGUGGCACGCGAGUUCACCUUAAACCUUGAUGAGCUCGAUGUUGUGCAGGAUGAUCUUUCGGAUCAAGACUGCAUAUUUCAUGAAGAGGAAAUUUGGAAGGUUAUCAAAGAACUGCCCUCCGAUCGUGCGUCAGGGCCAGACGGAUUCAUUGUCAUAUUCUUUCAGAAGGCUUGGGAGAUCAUCAAAGCUGACCUUACUCACGCGCUGCAUAAACUGCUCAUUGGAAAUGGGAGAGGGUUUGGUAGACUAAACCAGGCAUUGAUCACCCUGAUCCCGAAAUCACCGGUGGCUUGCGCGGUGGCGGAUUUUGGACCGAUCAGUCUGAUUCACAGUUUGCCUAAGCUAGCCUCGAAGCUCCUGGCAACGCGCCUUAGGCCUCGCAUGGGGGAACUGGUGCACAUUAACCAAUCGGCUUUCAUCAAAGGGAGAAACCUACACGNNNNNNNNNNNNNNNNNNNNNNNNNNNNNNNNNNNNNNNNNNNNNNNNNNNNNNNNNNNNNNNNNNNNNNNNNNNNNNNNNNNNNNNNNNNNNNNNNNNNNNNNNNNNNNNNNNNNNNNNNNNNNNNNNUACACGACAAUUUCCUGCUGGUUAGACAGCUAGCGCGUGGCCUACAUCGGAGGAAGGCGAAAGGGGUCCUGCUCAAACUGGACAUAUCUAAAGCCUUCGAUUCUCUAUACUGUCCCUUCCUAUUCGAGGUGCUAAGGGCCAAGGGCUUCUCCGAGCGAUGGAUAUCAUGCAUUGCUACCUUACUGACGACGGCUAGUUCGAGAGUGGCGGUGAAUGGUUGUGCUGGUAGCAAAUUCAUCCAUGCGAAAAGGUCUCUCACAAGGGGAACCUAUAUCCCCCAUGUUGUUCGUGCUGGCUAUGGACGUACUCACUUUGAUCAUUAUUAAGGCACAUGAGAACUCUGCUAUUAGCGCCAUGAACGGUUGUAGCCCGAUGCAACGCCUGUCCUUAUAUGUGGAUGACGUGGUGCUUUCCAUCAAACCUACUCGGCCCAAUCUGCAACUCAUGACUGAGGUGUUUCACAUCUUUGGCGUGGCUUCGGGACUAAAGGUCAACUACAACAAAUCUUCGGCUAUCAUGAUCAGGUCGGAGGAUUCAGAUGCGGAGCUUGUCGAGCGUGCGUUACCAUGGAAAAUGGAACAAUUUCCUUGCAAAUACUUGGGGCUGCAGCUAAGCAUCUGACAGUUACGUCGCUCGGAAUGGCAACCGAUUGUAGACGUGACACUUCAUAUUGUGCCGGGUUGGCAGAGGGGAUUGGUGACUAGGCCGGGACGUCUGGUGCUUGUUAACCAGGUCAUGAGAGCUAGGGCCACGCACCACCUGAUGAUUGUUGAGGCGCCCAAAUGGGCUUUGGAGAAAGUGGACAAAGGCUGUCGGGCCUUCUUGUGGGCUCGCACAUAGGGCAUCCAUGGCGGCAAAUGCGCUGUGUCUUGGGAUCGUGUAUGUCGGCCAAAGAGGCUAGGAGGACUCGGCGUGAUCGACCUGUACAGGCACAGGAUUGCCCUCAGAUUGCGCUGGGAGUGGUUGCGGCGUACAGAUGGCUCUAGGCCUUGGCAAGGUCUUAAUCUGGUUCCUGAUAAGCAAGUGGCCCAUGCCUUUGGCAGCAUGGUUAAGUGGAGCUUAGGAUCACGAUCACAGAUUCUGUUCUGGAAAGACAGAUGGAUAAACGGUGCCACGAUCAAGGAAAUUGCACCAUUAGUGGUGGCUAGAGUGAGAACCCAAGUGGCCAACAAGAGAUCGGCAAGAGAUGCACUUCAAAUGCAUGCUUGGACAAAUGAUAUUGUUGGAGAUAUGUGCACCGAAAGCUUGUCUCAGUUCAUCGCGCUCUAGGAGAUUCUUAUCGAUGUGGAGACCGACCCGGGCAGCGAGGAUAAACCGAUCUGGGCCUGGAUUGUGGAUGGAACUUACACGUCAUCAUCGGCUUAUAGGAUGCUUUGCGAGGGGGGGGGGGGGGGGGGGUUCCCCNNNNNNNNNNNNNNNNNNNNNNNNNNNNNNNNNNNNNNNNNNNNNNNNNNNNNNNNNNNNNNNNNNNNNNNNNNNNNNNNNNNNNNNNNNNNNNNNNNNNNNNNNNNNNNNNNNNNGGGGGGGGGGGGGGGGUAGGAGAUUCCAGUCUUAUGCAGAUAUAUGGAAGAGUUGGGCACCCCUGGCUUGCCGGAUCUUCAUGUGGUUGGCAGUGCAAUACCGGCUGUGGACGUUGGAUAUGAGGGCACGACAUGGGUUACAAGACAAUACCUCCCCUUGCUACUUGUUUGAUCAAGAAAAGGAUACAGUCGACCAUAUCCUUAUUCAAUGUGUCUUCGCUAGGCAGUUAUGGUUCCUUUGCUUCUCUAGGAUGUGGCCGGUAUCGCACUUGUGCCCAACUCAGCAUGACACCUUGGUGGAGUGGUGGCAGGUGGUUCGAAAGCGUAUCACCCAGCGCACAUGCAAGGGCUUUGACACACUAGUUAUGCAUGUCAGCUGGAGCCUAUGAAAGCAAAGGAACGACAAAGUUUUCGAUAGGAGUGCUGUCCUAAACGAAAGGGGCACGGUGAAUCUCAUUUUCGAGGAUCUUACGAACUAGACUAUGGCAGGAGCUUCUCGAGUGAUCCGUAUGAUUGAGUAGUACAGUCUAGUUAACUCGGGAGUGGGGGCUGGGUUAGGAUCGACCUGUGAUGCCUAACUAGCGAUGUCGUAAUCUCUUAUACAUAACUUCUGACUUCUAGAAAGCUGAAAAGGUUGUUGUCACUAUUAUUAACAUAAAAUAUUUUCAUUUAUUAAAUGAAUGUAUUUUCUUUAGCGGAUACCUGAAUUAUUUUUGGAACCCUAUGUCGAGAAGGCCCGGAACGAGUCCCACGAAAUGAACACACUUCUCGUUCAGUCCGACAUCCUUUAAAUAGGAGGAUAGCCAAGCCGAGCCGCUCCUACGGAGUCCCACCUCGCCGCCGCCAAACCCUCGCCCUUCUUCCGCCGGAGCCCACCGAGCUCUCCCACUCCAGAAAUUCCCCGAGCGGGAGCUCGCCCCCUCCAACGCCGCGUCCUCCUCCAGCUCCACAGGUAGGCCCUAGGCCCCGGCACAAAUCUUGUGAUUCCACCCAUCUCCACCUCGCAUCCAUGUCUCGGCCGGAUUGGUUCUAGUUUGCUCCCUGUUCAUGUUGUGAUGUCUAGGGUUUGUCUCGCAGGGACUGGUCUUCGGGAGAUUCCCAUUUGUUCCCGCGACCCCGCGCGCAGCAACCCUAGGCGGGCUCGUCCGCCAUGUUUCCGCCGAAAGGUCCCAAUCCCUACGGGCAGCAACCGCCGUACGGCGGGCAGCAAUCUUACGGCGGCCAAAUCGUAUGUCUCUCUCAAAAAAAAAAGCGCUGAUCUGGUAUUUGCUUAGUUGUGUUAUGUCCAGAUUCGUGGCAGGUUCUCAUCUUUUAUGUGCGCAAAAACCUGCGCUCUUUUGCCCUACUUUUGUGUGCAGCCUGGUAGCAGUGGAUUUGGGGCCUCAGGUGCGGCAGGUGCCCGCGCCGGACAGGCUGCUGCUGGGCAGUAUGGAGGGCCUUACGCGUCGGUGUAUGGCACACAGCAGGUGGUUAACUAAUCGCAAUUCACCAACAUUUUUCAAAAUUGGUUUCAAUAUACAAUUUAUUGGCCUCCUAAUGCAGUUCAUGCUCACUACUGUUACUGUGUAAGUUGCUUUGUCAGUCGUUGUUAAUGUGGUGUAUGUAGAGGGGGAAUCUUUAUAGCAAAGGCAAAUAAUGAAGGUUAUUAGCUGCCAGUUUGAUGCCUUUGGAAUGCAAAUGGUAGUAGAACCGCGCAGCUUCAUGCUCUCAUAAAUCUGAUGUAUCCACAUGGACAUCUGAGAUAAAAGAAAGCACUAGGUUUGGCCAGUGCUGAAGAGGCUGGCCAGGAUUAUUAGUUCUAGCUCAAAUAAAAUUAUCUAAAAUGUUGCUGUGUGAAUCCAAGUAAAACUAAGGUGUCCUCCUGGACCUGAUUUUUUUUGUUUAUCCUUACCCUUAUCCACACGAAGAGCAACUAGUAUUAUAUUAUCCCGGAAGUGUGCCUAUUUUUUUUUUUUUUGGAUGUUUAAAAGGUCACUGAUUCUGUUAGUCCAGAAAACCUAGGAAUUGAUAAUGGCCCUGUGAGAUAAUUGUACAAAAUGAGAGCCAGAUCUCUACUCAUCCUGAAAGAUAAGUAGCAAUGAUGCAGCAUCUAGCUCAUAUGCCCCUUUUGAGUGACCCAUGCUAUCGCCCGUCAUAAUCUAUUGGUUCACACUAGAAUAUUGCUCUGAAAGAUGCCUCACCCAAUGUCCAAAACAUACUAGUUAUGUAUGUGUUAUGCAUCAUUCUAUAUCUUGAUAGUGAGGUUUAAGCUUCAGCUUAAAACUGCAAGAAUCUGGAGGAUUGCAAGUAAAGGUUGCUCUCAAGCCAUCUCCACCUUGCCCCUCCCCUGCAUAAGUCUGUCAGAUCAUGUCCAAACUGUUUAGUGGUGUUAAGACUUGUGAGGGUUUUUGCAAACUAGAUAUAUUUCUGAUUUUCCACCGCAGAUAGGAAUCAAUGGGCUGAUUCUGUAGCACUUAUUUACAGCUACAUAAGCCCAAGGUCAGCUUUUUGUUCUUGCUGUUUCAUUCUUUGUGCCGCAUAAUUACCAGGUAAUUUGAUGUCUGUUUCAUUUUGUAAGUUCUUCUUGUCUCCCAAAUAAGAAUAUGACAAAAUAUAAUAGAUCCCACCAAUUACCAUUUCAUUUACAUGAAUGCCCCUAUCAUACUGAUUAAUGGCAGGAUAGAGUAGAAUAUGGUUUGACCAAUUAUCAUUGUAUUUACGAUAAUGCACUACUAAAAUAACUGAGCUUGCACUAGGCAUGUCAUAUUCAAUAUUUCUGAAAAAAGCAAUGCUAGAGCAUUUCAGCAUCCAGAAUUUCACAAUAUGGGGGCCUCUUUUAGACGAGGAAUGCAUGUUCAUGUGAGUUGUCUAUGUUAACUGACUUGGUGUCCUGGCAGUACCUCGAAGCAGAAAACAGAGCAAGUGCUGGAAUAAUUUGCUGGCUAGUCCACUAAACUGUAGUUGGUAGUCAUGUAGUAUCGCACAUAGCUUAUCCGUGUAUCAAGGAAUCAAAUGAUCUGGAAAAAGAAUACAAAAACUCUUUUAGGUAAAUAAGCUUUUCCUGGGAUAAACUUAUCUUAUGUGGCAUUAAACUUAUAUAUACUUGCCUUCACAUAAUAUUUGUGCUUUUGUGCAUUUUGUCAGAUUUAACGUGUUAAGCCAUUUUGCCGGUAGUUCGUGAAGAGCGGAUACUAGGAAGAGAUUUCUGUUAACCAGUCGUGUCUUUUUCUUUUGUUAUUUCCGAGUUUGUAUUUUUUAGGCCUUGUCUCAAUGUUGAUCUCAACUCUUUGUUUCAGCUGUAUUUGUAUGUUGAUUACUUUCUUCCAUGGUCAGAUCUCACCUCCUUUUAGUUUCAAGUGUCACGACUGUUCCAUGAGUUCUGUGCAUGAUAUCUUGACUGAAUAUCUGAUUUUUUUUUUGCAGGUUGGGGGACUUGGUAGCAAAGGUCCGGAUUCUUCUAGUCUUCCUAGCCUGCCACCUCAUACAUCUUCACUAUCUCAGUCAUCCAAGUUCUCGUCUGGAUCUGCAGGGUCUAACUUGCCAAGACCAAAUGAUGACUAUAUGGCUGUGCGUGGAUAUGCACAGAAGCUAGACCAGUAUGGUACUGAUUACACAUCAGAGAGAAGAAUGUAUGGUGAACACUCAGCUAAUCUUGGCAGGAGGGAUGGCCUUACUGAUUUGGAUAGAAGAUAUCCUGAUCAUAUACCUGCAGCCCAUCAGGUAUAUAAUGUGUGCUCACUUUUUUUGGGGGUUUUCCCCUUAAUUUAGUUAAUUUAGCAAACAUAAUCUUAUGACCACAUUUUUUAUAUCUCAGAUUCAUGACCGUGUGGAGCAGGUAGCAUUCGUCUUUCCCUUACAAAACUAUGGUCUGCUCUCUGUUAUGGCCUAUAAUUAUGUCUAUUCUGUUAAUCUUUUCAGGGUUCAACAAUGCGCCACCAGCCACUUCUGAAAGCUCAGCUGCCGCCUGUGUCUGAUAUGAGGUACGUUAGCUCACAGCCAGGUCACUUAUAUUGUUCAGGUUUUCUAUCCACAUGGUAGACCAUAGUCACUCUCAGUUUAAAAAGUGCAUCAAAUGAACGACUAUGUGCAUGUUCCAAACAUCUCUGCUUAGGACUAAAUUUUGUUAGUUAUUUUAAUUAAUGUACCUCACCGGCCCUUUUGGAAAGCUAAAUUAGCGAUCCUUUGUGUGUUUAUCACUGCAAAAAAACAUAGCACAUGCACUGAGUAAAAUAUGCAUUUCUGGCAGACAAGCCGAUUACUUUGCAGGAAGGUCCGCUCCAAUCCAUCAAGAAUCUCAGGAAAUUAGUACAUAUGGAAGGGCUGAAGCUGACCAUCGCAACUUGUCCAUUCUUGGGAAUGUUCCAUAUGGAGGACAACAAACAUCUUCAUUGUUGGGAGGCGCCCCUAGGACAAACAUUGAUAGUCUUGGCUAUGGGCAAGGAUCAUCAAGCAGUGGUUAUGGGAUGGGUCUGCCCCCGGGGCGUGACUAUGCCUCGGGGAAAGGCCUUCUCCAUCCAUCUUCAGAUUCUGAUUACCGUGACAACAUCUUACCCCGUGCACGUCCAGGCAUCUCCAUGGUUGAUGAACGUGCAAUUGACCGGGUUGGUUAUCGUCGUGAGCUGGAUCUAAGAGAUGAGGAACGUCGAAGGGAUAUGCUACUUGAAAGGGAGAAGGAGCUUGAACGGGAGCGGGAACGGGAGCUGCGAGACCUUCGAGACCGUGAAAGAGAAAGAGACCGUGAAAGAGAAAGAGAACGUGAAAGGGAAAGGGACCGUGAAAGAAUAAGGGAACGUGAAAGAGAAAGGGAGCGGGAGCGUCAAAGGGAACAUGAAAGAGAACGUCUUCGCGAGCGCCGCGAGAAGGAGAGGGAGCGGAACAAGAAGCAUGUAGCUGAUUCAAGGCGUGAGCGCACUCCACCUAGAACCCCUGGUGAUCGACGACGUUCUUCUUCUGUUAAGUCUGAGAAGCCUUUGCGGCGCCUUUCACCUCGACGUGAUGCUGUGCAUAGGUGUCUCCAUGUUCUCUCUAGCUUUGUGGAUGCACUUCGUCUUUGGUGCAGCCUUUUAAACUAACACUUUCGUUUGUUGUCCUGAAGGCAUCGUUCGCCUAUUAAAGAAAUAAAGAGAGAAUAUUUGUGCAAGGUAAACAAACAGUUGUGUUCGUCACAGUGUUCUUGCGAAAAUCAAUUGAUAGUAUUAAUUCUUUACGUGCCUCCUUGAUGCACUCUGGUCUCCAGUUUCCUUUACUGCUGUCCUUGUAUCUCUGUGAACUUAUGCGUCCACUCUUGGAAGUAAUAUCUGAGAGAUUCUGGGUUCCACUUAUCCAUCUAUCUACACCAAUCCUUGUUUUUGCCUUCCUAGCCACUUUCUCUUUUCUGUUACCACUUAUCUGGAGAUUUCUGGUUCCUUACUCUUCCACUUUGGAUAAGUUGGAAGACUAUUUACACCUUAAGCAUAGAUUGCACCAGAGUGGGUAUGAUUGAGCAAUCACGGAGAUGUCUUCCAUCCUCCAUUUCUCUCUGUCUCCUUUAUGUGCAAAUAUCAUAUUCAGUAUGUUCAGUUAUGCAGCAGUUUUAGUCUGAUGCCCAGUACGAACUCGUUGCUAAUUGGGCUGUCUGCUGCAGGUUUUGCCAUUUCGUUUUGUGGAUGAUGAGAGAGACUGUUUAUCUUUGACAAAAAGAUAUCCUAGGCUAUCAGUUAUUCCAGAUUUUUCUAAGGUUUGACAUUCUAUUCAUGACUGUUGAAAAUCAAAACUCAACGUGAAAUCAUGGUACUGUAUGAGUUUUUUUUGCCUUACUUGUGAUUUACUUGUUCUGUAGAUUGUCUUGAAUUGGGCUAAAGAAAGCCUAAAUCUUUCGCUGCAUACACCAGUGAGGUAUGCUUGCACUGUUCUCUUUGUUUUCUUGCUAAAUGUUCUUGAGCUUCCUAUUAAUGACAUGUUUUAUACUGUGUUGCUGCCACUGCUGUAAAAUAGUCUGGAGCAUGCCAUCUGUGAAGAUGACGAUAAAGCUGAUGAAAGCGCACUGGUCUCUUCUGAGAACGCAUCAAGCACAAAGACCCCUGAAACCAUUUGGAAUGCAAAGGUUUUUAUGUUUAUAACGUCGUGUUCAUUUUGGAGUAUGAAUUAAAGCUGUAGUUGGUUUGAGUAGUAGCUCCCGAAAUAAGUAGCGAUAGUGUUUAUUUGAGUGAAUUGUGUCAUUGUGCAUGCUAUAGCAAUAUUUGUAGAAAGCAUGUGGUAUAAUUGUCGUGGGCAUUAAUACUCAUGUUCGUAGAAAAUUAUUGCUUGCAAGUAUAUGACGUGCAACCUGUGCUGCUGACCUGCAUUAUCCAAGGGUUUCAUGGUCUUCCUCUUGAUCAUGCUUGCCACUUGAGCAAUCUUUUGAGAAAUGCUAGUCCGAAUCUAGCUUUUUGUAGGACGAAUUUCCCUUGCAUGAAAAAUAUGCCUUCGUCAUUCCAUCGCAUUGUGACAUAGAGACGUCUCAGAAAAUAAAGUUGUGCUAGUACAAUUUUCUGUUGCAUAUUAAUAUAGUUAUUGCGAUGCUAUGAUUUAUAUGUCUCCAUGGUGGUCCAUCGUGUGCUCACCCCUAGCCUUUGCCUAGUCUUUUUUCUUUGAAACUGGAGGAAAGUUUUCGUGGCAUUUGUACUCAUCUGAUAUUGUAAAAAAUCACAAGAGUCUGUCUUGGGAUUGACGUUAGCUCGAGUUUUGUUUUUAGUGCUUUUAAGUAAUCCAAAGAAGAAAAAUCCACCUCACGUUUGGCCGGAUAUAGAGGCACUUAAGUUAUGCUGUUUGUACUACCUUACAAGGUAACUCCAACCAUCGUGAAGUAAUUUCCUUCUGUGCUUACAUAUAUGCCCAUGUGCAGGUACUUCUGAUGAGCGGUAUGAGCAAUGGUGCCUUUGCUGACAUAACGUCGAUGAGAAGUACUGAGGAACGAGUGGUGCACUUGAACAAUAUCUUAAAAUUUGCUGUAUUCAAGAAGGAUCGUUCACUUCUUGCUAUUGGAGGCCCUUGGAAUGCAGCACUUGAUGGUGGAGAUCCAUUGGUUGACUGUUCUUGCUUGAUUCGAACCGCUAUCAGGUAUGCCUUGAUCAAGUAAAUGCACCAUGGAUAACUUGCAACUCUAAUUGUAAAUGCCUUGAUCAAGUAACCUAUCUUGUUGGACAGAUAUGUGAAGGAACUGGUUCAAGUUGAUCUAUCUAAUUGUACUAGUUGGAAUCGUUUCCUUGAGGUACUUCUAAACCUAUCUCAGCAUCUUCUAGGAACUGUAUUUCUUGAAUAUAUUCUUCUUUGGAUGGAAAACAUCAUCCUUCCAUCAUAUACCUUUUAUUUAAUUGGUCAUAUCUGGAUUCUCCUCUGAAUCGUAGAAGCGCAAACACAUAUAUUCCUAUAUGCUUUGUUCCAAAACUCUAUAAUGCACAUUUUACAUUAUGAAUCUUUAACAAUCAGUUUGCUUCCUGUUAAUUUGUUUGACAUUUCUCUGUUAUUUGUGUUUUAAAAUCUUCCCUAUCCGAAAUGACAAUAUUCGAAAGGAUAUUUGUGCUAAUAAUCGUCAGAAUAUUAGACAUUAUGACUGGUAACUGGUCAGUUGCAAAUGCGAUAUCAAACCCUACUCGUAUGUGGUUUAUUGGCUCUUCCAUAGGAUAAUAUGAGAGCAUUUACUCCAGUAAUGAAGUCAUUCGCUUUUCAAGGCAUGCUAUUAUUGCUGAAGUCAUCAGCAUAAUGUAAUACACGUGUUAUGCUGUAGGUCCAUUACAACAGAGUAGGCAUUGAUGGACUCUUUAGUCACAAAGAAAUUACUGUACUUUUUGUGCCAAACCUGUCGGAAUGCGUACCAUCUUCGGAUAUAUGGAGGAACAACUGGAUUGCAUACCGAAAAUCAAAGAUAGAAAGGGAGCAGUUGAAUAUGAAGAAGGAAAAGGUAAGCUUGUGGUUACUAUUAUAACAUACUUUGUUUUCUUCUGAAACAUCACUAAUAGUUCUGACUUCCUGUUGCAUUUUAGAGCCCAAGUGAUCCAAAGGAACAGAAACAAGGUUUGAAAGAUCCUCACUUAUCAUUUCACUGCCUUUUCCUUGUCUAAUGAAUAAAAUAAUUGAUCCUUGUUUAUUUGUCAGCAGUUUUAGAGGAGCCAAGCGAGGCUAAAAGUAUGAAUGAUCAAUUGAAGGAGGGUGAUGGCGCUGUUAAGAUUGAGAAAAUUGAUGCUGAUAUGGAACUUAAGGAGGGUGAUGGUGCUGCCAAGAUUGAGAAAANNNNNNNNNNNNNNNNNNNNNNNNNNNNNNNNNNNNNNNNNNNNNNNNNNNNNNNNNNNNNNNNNNNNNNNNNNNNNNNNNNNNNNNNNNNNNNNNNNNNNNNNNNNNNNNNNNNNNNNNNNNNNNNNNNNNNNNNNNNNNNNNNNNNNNNNNNNNNNNNNNNNNNNNNNNNNNNNNNNNNNNNNNNNNNNNNNNNNNNNNNNUUGAUGCUGAUAUGGAAGAGCAGGUCAAAGAUAGAGAUGUCAAUCUUGCUGGUGAUGGUGGCAAGAAUCCUGACAAUGUUGGGGAGCAAGUUGAGAAGACAGUGAGGGUUGUUGAAGGAAACGCUUCUGGUGAUGCUACUGUUGACCAUGUCACCGAGGAUAAAAAGCCCAUGAAGAAGAAAAUAAUAAAAAAGGUUGUGAAAGUUGUUCGAAAAAAGCCAACUGCUGAAGCUCCAGUGGAUAAAUCGCCUCAGGUUGACAAGAAUGCCGUGGCAGAAACUGCGAGCAAAACCGUCGAAAAGCACAUUGAACAAAAAAGUGAAGAUCUUGGGGAAGAGAAGGCGGGAGCUGGCAUUGGUCAACAGCCUGAGGCUAAGAAAACUGGGAAGAAGAAGGUAAUUCGAAGGAUUGUUAAAAGAAAAGUUCCUGCUUCAGCGACUGAGCCAACAGCCCUUGCUGCACCUGCUGAAGCAAGUAAACAAGAUGUGGCUGUUCAGCCGGAGAAGUUUGAUGAAGUCCCCACCGAUGCUGGGAAUUCACAGACUAAACUGGAAGAAGGAUUGAAAACUCCUGCUNNNN
rnacentral:lncRNA from 1 species